GGCGGAUCCACGAGAACCCUGAGCUCGGCUACGAGGAGUUUGCCACCAGUGAACUCGUCCGGCGCGAGCUCGAUGCCAUGGGGAUCCCGUACAGGCACCCCUUCGCGCUCACCGGCGUCGUCGCCACCGUCGGCACAGGCGGCCCGCCCUUCGUCGCGCUUCGGGCCGACAUGGACGCGCUCCCUAUGCAGGUUUUUUUUUUUUUUUUUUUUUUGAGAUAAGGUUGUUUCUUCUGCUUUACUGUUCGGAUUGUAUCCAACUUUUAUGUUUGUAUUGGGCCGUCGCGUUUUAGCUUUGCUGCGUCCGGUAGUUGAAAAUUUCUUGGUUCAGCUGCCGAACCAUUUCUAUAUUGCGACUGCGGAAUUUCAGGAUUUCUUCAGCGCCACUUGUUAACUUUGGAGGGGAAUUGUUCUUGUUGACGCUCUAUAUAUUAGCAGAGUAAGAUUGUAAAAUAAUAAGGGAGCUGCUAGGCGUCGACCGGUGGAUCCGUAGCAAAUAUCCACCACCCCAAUAGCCGUCCGAUUACGCGCGCAGCCGUCCGAUCUACCAGUUGGAUCGCCUCUUCCGGUCAAAUACAACCUGAAACAAUAGCCCAGUUGCAGAAACAAUCGCUUUGUUGCGAAAUAACUUUUGAUCCAUUAAUUCUUAAAACAACGGUUGAGUUGCAGAAACAAUUGCUUUGUUGCAGAAUUUUUUCUUCGUCUUUGUGCAGCAUAGGUACUGUUGGGUAAGAAUUUUUUGCAACAAAGGUCAUGUUGCAGAAAACUUUUGCAACAUAUGUCAGCUUGCAUAAUUUUUUCCUUCAUCUUUCUGCAACAAAGGUACCGUUGCGGAAGAAAUUGUUGCAACAUAGGUGCUUUUGCAACUGUCUUCAAGGGAUCCAGAUUCAGAUCCUACAACAUAGGAGGUGCUGCGGUGCGCAAACUGCAACAAGCGCUAAGUUGCAUAAAUACAAGCUAGGUGAGCCUACAUAAGACAAGCGUUGCAUGAGCAAGAGGCGUCUGCCCUCAAGGGAUACAGAUUCAGAUCCUGCAACAUAGGACGUGUUGCGGUACGCAAUCCGCAACAAGCGUUAAGUUGCAGAAUGACAAACUACAUAAGCUCAAAUAGGACACGCGUCGCACAGACAAGACGAUGGAAGGCUGCGUGCGAUCCGCCGGCUGAAGCACAACGUUUUCCAAAUAAUAAUACUCAAAAUCUCCUAAUAAACGAACCCUGAUGGACCGAUGACUUAAGUAGACCUCUCAGCACUGGUGUGUGAGAUGUCAUAAUUCAAAAUUGGAGGAUAGAGAAUCGUAUCCCAAAUUUUUGGCUGGAUAACUGUUUGAUAUUGACCGCGGGGAAAUGCAAUAUAAUGCUUGUCAGUUCUCAGUACAAUUAAACUUCUGAGUCUGGACAGAUGGCAAACACUACUUUUCUUAUUAAAAAGAGGGGCAUACACUAGCCUAGUCAUAGCUAGUUCCCUAGACUUUUGACCAGGAUCAUACAAGAGUAGGUUUAUGCUUAUUGUGGGAAUGAAACAUGUGAUUAGCCUGUAUGCACGUAUAUAAUAGCAAAGCUAAGCUUCAAGCUUGUCUUGUGUGGCGAUGAGACAAUUAUGCCAUACUGUUACACAAGUAGUAGAUAAUAAUUUUGGGAGCAAUUAUUGUAUGCAUUUUCUUGAAAAGGAUAGUAUAAUUGUUAUUCCUAGUUACUGGACAUUUCUUGUGUUUAUUUGAAUUAUUUUUUGGUGCUAAUUUAAGCAUUAUAAGCAUCCUAUGCCUGCACUGAAGUAUGAUUAGGCUGUAUUUGGCUAUCACUUUAUCUAUUUCAAGGAUCAUGUUACUUAUGAUACCCUCAUGUGUAUUCUUCAGGAAAGUGUGGAAUGGGAACAUAAGAGCAAAGUGCCUGGGAAGAUGCAUGGAUGUGGCCAUGAUGCACAUGUUGCUAUGCUGUUGGGUUCUGCUAAGAUUCUUCAGGAGCACCGUGAUGAGUUGAAGGUUAGUAAAGAGGCUCUUUCUGGAUUGUAAAACGUUGUAAUUUUCUCAUUUUACAAUGAAAAGCCGCAAGAAGAUUUGAAUUUUCUCUUUUAACGCUGAAAGGGUGCUUGAAGGUUGACAGUUAACUAUAGGUCAAUCAUUUUGUUGUUGCUUUGAGUUUAAGAGGUAGUAGUAACCUUGCAAAUAAAUAAAUAAAUGAAAAUAUAAUCAUAAGAUCAGUAUAUCUUAACACUCCACGUGAUUUAUUCUCAUACUUCCCCUUCUUUCAUUUCUUGUACAAAUCAUCUGUUUACUGGGUUAGAACUUUGACGGAACUAAAUUGUACCAAUUCAAUGUUCAUGUCAUAAGAGUGGCGAUAUAUUACUUUUGGUGUUAUAUAUGAACUUUCAUGGUUCAGAAACUACCUGAUUCUCUAUGCCGGCUAUGGUAAAUGAGGUUUUUGUUUGAUUAAAAUGUAGGCGAUAAAAUUUUGGUAUUUCCUAUGUCCACUCCACCACCGAUGUUUCCUGAACUAUUUGGAGAUUGUGCCAAAGGGCAAGUGCAAUGAUUUUUGUUUCUUUUUCCUCAACACUUCCUUCUCAAGAGAUGCACAAUGUUGGUGAUUCACUGUUUUAUAUUUCAAAUCAACCUUCACAUUAGCAGUUCUAUGAAUAUCUUGUGACACUACAUAGAAAAUGCGCAUGUGUAUUCUGUUCUCCAAUAAUUGGUCAUGCAACCUUUUUCAGACAUCAUACAGUUAGUCAAAGGAUAGUUUGGUCCCCGCUUCCCCUCAUAUCAGUUAUGUACAAACUGAACCAUGUGGCUGCCUAUAUAUCAAUUAUGUCAAGAUUUCAUAAUCCUUGGCCGAAAACAAUUUCCUAUCUUGCACACAUCAAAUUUUAUUUACCUGCAAAAUUUGAUGUUACAAACAUCUUGUUGUUUGUUUACUGUAGGGUACUGUAGUCCUUCUUUUCCAACCAGCUGAGGAAGGUGGUGGUGGAGCCAAGAAAAUGGUAGAAGCCGGAGCUGUGGAAAACAUAGAGGUCAUGUUUGGGAUUCAUGUAGCUGACACUGUGCCUAUUGGUGUGCUGGCAUCCAGACCUGGGCCUAUAAUGGCGGGGAGUGGAUUUUUUGAGGCAGUAAUAAGUGGAAAGGGAGGGCAUGCUGCACUUCCUCAUCACACUAUUGAUCCAAUACUAGCUGCAUCCAAUGUUAUUGUUAGCCUUCAGCAACUUGUUUCCCGAGAAGCUGACCCCUUGGACUCACAGGUGUUAUUCAAUCCUUGAGCUACUUGAUUUAUUUAAUGGCUGCUACAUUUUUAUAGGACAUACAUAGUCUUUUUUUGAUCAUGGCUAUGUGAUUUAGAUAGCUCAUUUUGUGGAGUUUGCGUAGAUCAUUUUGACCCAUUUCUUGAUACUCAAAACUUGUCAGGAUUCUGAGCUCAUACCUGUUAAAAUAAUUAUUUGUUCUGAUUUACUGCAGGCUAACUAAUCACAUCCUAACAUGGAAGCUGUCUACUCCUAAUAAUACCCAGAGUUAUGAUCGUAACUACCAAAAUUUCUCAAUCAUCUAGUAUCUGAAUUCAUAAGUUUUUUUUACGUACACUACUGAACUUUCUAUCUAGCAUUAUGAUUUCAUAGAUGAAAUGAUUUUCUGCACACUACAGUCCUGUAAUACAUCGUCGUUUGUCUUUAUAAAAUGGCCCCCUUUCAUGUUUCAUACGCUCUUCCAGUCGGCUGCCUUUAGGCUAUAGAUAUUUGUUAUAUGCUAAGUGGUGACUGUCCUAGUCAUUCCUUUAGCAUGGCCAUAUUGUUUUGGGGUCCCACUCUCCCGUGGCGAUUCCUGUGUACCUCAACAUCUCAUUACCCUCCUUUUUGUUGGCUUUGUUCUGCAGGUAGUAACAGUUGGAAAGUUUCAAGGUGGUGGAGCCUUCAAUGUUAUCCCUGAUUCUGUGACAAUAGGCGGUACCUUCCGAGCCUUUUUGAAGGAGAGUUUUAAUCAAUUGAAGCAGCGAAUUGAAGAGGUAACAACAUUAUAACUUGGGAGUUGUGUGUUGUUUAUCCGGCAUUAAGUUCUGAAUGAUUUGCUCUUGAAAAGAUGAUUUUGUAGGAGACCUCGAUUGUGUUGUUUAGCCCAUGUGUUGGUAGGAGACUUUGAUAGAUUUUGUUGAAAGAUUACUUCAAACAUGUUACAAUACAUCAACGCCUCUAAAUAAUAGGAAGUCCUGAUAAUUGAAGAGGGGUGUUAGCAUUAAAUUUUGCAAAUAGACUUUAUUACAGUGUUGAAAAUUGACAUCUCUAUAAGAGUCAAGAUGAACAAAAAGAAUCAAGGAAUAUCGUUUAAUUCAUAUCUGAUGGUUGGUAUAGUUGGAGGUGAAGAGGCUGCCGCUGUCAAUUGUACUAUUUAUAUAGAAUUAAAAUAAUUUGAGAAUACAUUUGUACAAAGUGUCACAGCGGCUUGGCCUGUAGCUGCCUUUGUCAAUUUCGCACUAUAAACAAGGGUAAUCACAACCAAGUGAGCUGGUGGUGAAUGUGUUGCCUGAUUAUUAUAUAUAUACAGUAUUUUCCUUAAAUAAUGAACGUUGCAGUGUUGCACCAUUUGGGUUUUCUAGAAAGGAAGUGCUUCGUGCUGCUUAUUUUAUCAUGGAUGGUCAAAGCUGAGAUCGCUAAAGAAAGAUAUACACACUAAAGGAUCUGUAAUUUCGUUUGUUUAACUUGAAAGUUUUUUUUUUUUUUUUUGUCUCAGGUCAUAGUCACACAGGCAUCUGUCCAGCGCUGCAGCGCAGUUGUGGACUUCCUUGACAAAGAUCGGCCGUUCUUCCCUCCAACAAUCAACAACCCUGAGCUUCACGAUUUCUUUGUGAAGGUGGGUAGCGAAAUGGUUGGCCCCAACAAGGUGAGAGAGAAGCAGCCACUGAUGGGUGCGGAGGACUUCUCCUUCUACACGGAGGUCGUUCCCAAGACAUACUACUACUUCGUGGGGAUGCUGAACGAGACUCGUGGACCGCAGGCGCCUCAUCACUCACCCUACUUCACCAUCAACGAGGAUACACUGCCCUACGGUGCGGCCAUGCAAGCAUCGUUGGCUGCUCGCUAUCUGCUUGAGCACCAGCUCGUUACCGCUGCUAAGGUGGUGGAACCACGGGACGAGCUGUAGAUGGUGUCCAUGUUGAAUGAAACGGCGGAGGGACGUGCACAGCAACUGUUGAUUAAAAAGAGGGAAAACAAAAAAAAAGGUAAGGCCCUGGGCCAAAUGAAGCUGACUUGUUCGAGGAGGACCUCUGUAUCGCCGGGUGAUUAUGCAACUGUCUGUACAUGGUUUCCUGAUUUCAGUGCAUUACAAGCGAGCAGAUGACCUUGUGAAAACACUGUGCGCAUGUGAUUCUGUGGUAGGUCUCGUUUGUUUUCGUAUCUGCACUUAGCCGAGUACGUGUAAUCUUUGAGUGCAGUCGUGGAUAAUGCAUGUACGUCGUGCAAACAGAAUAAAUUGGGAAGCAGACACACCUCUUUGUCCUGUUUAGAGUGGGGAAAGAUAUGAAUUUGUAGCAUGGUUCCAUCUUUUAAUGGCGCAAAAAUAAUUUACAGGCACGGUCGAAAAUAUUUAUUCCAUAUAUAUAAGUUGGAUGCCUUCAUAGGUAAAUCUUCGGGUCCCAAUAUCAAAAAUAGACAAUGGAGCUCCCCCUCCCAGCUCUCCGUGAUGACCCGUGAGGGUGCCGGCGGUCGCGCCAGGGUGCCGGCGGUCGCGCCACCCCCCUGCUGGCCCGCCCGCUAUCUCCUCUUUCAUGCCACUCCUGCCCCGGUCGCUGGGUUGCGCUUCUGGUAAGUCUGCCGUCGUCGACUGCGGGGUCCUAGGCAAAUCUGGUGUCCCAAUCGCCCUGGCGUCGCCGCGGGGACUCCGCGAUCGAUUUGGAGGUUGUCCCCGAAUCACCUCUCGACCCGCGGGCGGUCGGAUUGGCCCCCUCCCCCUUGCUGCCAUUGAUGGCCCGGAUUCGGACCGUUCCAUGCCUGGAUCUGACAUUAACUGCGGGGUUGGUGUCGACAUUAACUCCUCCGUGUCGGGCGCCUGCACUAGCCCAUCCCCCCAACGGCCUGCACUUCAAUGUCGGCGACUAGCGCGGGGCACGAGAAGGAUGUGACCGCUGCGUGGCAGUUGGUCAAAUCGCGGCGAGGUCCGCGUCGCCCGGCUUUGCCUGGCUAGGCAUUGAAGAAGCCAUCCCUCCCAUGGUGGCUUAAAAGGGUGCUGUAGUCGCUGCCUAGCGCUUGGACAUCGCGCCUCCUCCUGUCGCGAGCCGCUGCGUUGCUCCCGUUGCCUUCGGAACGCCACCGACACCGUGGCUACAAGAACAAGUGGCGCCCUCUGAGCUCGUUGGCGUGCUUCGCCUUCGUCCCCCCGCCGCCGCUUCCUCGACCCUCGCAUGCAUCGACUCAACCCUCGGUCCCUGCCUUCACCCUGGGACGGGGCUGGCUUCUUCCUUCUCCUACUCCGACGACCCUGCCCCAGGCCAUCACCGACAAGCCUGCCAUGCCGCAGCUGGGAGACGCGGCCAGUCUGCCUGAUGUGGACUUCGUGGUCGUCCCGGCCACGUCGAAGAUGCACGCAGAUUCGUCCCUGCUCUCCACCAACGUCGCAGUGGCCUGGUUCAAGGAUGGACGGAAGGACGUGCCCCUGCCACGAGGUGGCCAUGACGUUCGCCACCACCUUCAGCUGUCGGAAGGCGGACGUCAGCAUCGUUCGCCACCUCUCCGAGCACUUCUUCGUCAGGUUCAUGUACCAACUUAACUGCGCUGAUGCAGUUAACCGUGAGGACUUCCGCAUCGCCAAUUCCAAGCUUUUCGUCCCCGCGUGGAGACUCGAGGCGCAUGCGUACAAUGAAGACAUGAUCGUCACGUCCCGUUGUACAUCAAGGGGAUUCCCGUCCAUGGAUGGAACGAGUAUGUCGCCGCGUUUGUCAUCGGCCGCAAGUGAUCCCUCGACUACAUCGAGCCGAUGGCAUUGCAUCACGAGGACACAUGCUUUCUGUCGCUUUGGGCAUGGACGUCCGACCCCAAUGCCAUCCCAAAGGUGAAGUGGCUGACGCUGCCUGCUCGUGGUCACUGUUGCCGUGGCCGCCGCAGUCUGGGCCACCGCGUGUUGUUGCACCUGGACCUGCUCGAGGACCACUCCAAGGCAUGUGACGACGACGACCCCCCUCCGAAUGUCGAGGAGUUCAUGUGGUUCCCUGUGAGGUCAAUGGGACGACUCACUGUGCCGGCCGACGCGGUGACCAACCAAGUGAGGGUCGCCGCUCGGAGCGGCGCAAUGAGGACGACGACCGUGGGGGUCAUCGCGGCAGGGAUGGACCACGCUUAAAGGACAGCUGGAAUGACCACCUUCGACGUUCGUUGUCGCGGGGAGCACGUGACCGUCAGUGACAGGAUGACAACGGGCGCACCCAGGACGCUGUGGUGACAGUGGUCGGAGGCGCAACGGUGCUGGGCUGAUGUCGUGGCUUCGGCCGCUGCGUCUAUGCCUUCGUCCACGCCUGCGGCUAAGUGUGUCGCUACCCCUGGUACUGCUCGGGUCGGGUUCCAACAGCAGCAACGGGGCAUGCGCGCUUGAGAUGUUGUCGGUGUGCGGCCGCAGCCUGGCUCGACACGGUUCGCGUGGUGUUGCGCGCUGACACUCGCUGGAGAGCCUGACUCCACCUGCGUAGCUGCCUCUCUCCCCCAUGUUGGUGCUGCCAGGGCUGCCCCUUUCUAGGAGGGACAUGGAGAGGAACGCCAUGUCCGCCUUGCUAGGCCUUUCCCCAACGAUGGAGGGGCUAUUGUCGCCCAUGACCUUGCUUCUCCCACUGUCCCCGAUGCGCCCCCGGGUUUCGAGGCUUCGCCACCCCCUCUGUUCACCUUCCACGGCCGCUAAGGCACACACCCUCUUUGUUUGGCUGCAGGGGCAGCUGCGAACCUGCAGCUGGCGGGCGUCGGCCUGGCGGUGAUCUUUGAGGACAUGCAGGUGCCACUGCUGCCCUCCCCUGCUCCUUCACUGCCCCGUACCGCGGGGAGCACUGCAAGACUAUCGCAGGCAUCGAUGUCGUCCGGCCUGGCGCAGGGCUUUCUCUCCAGCAGACCAGUGCUAGGCUCACAUUUUCUCACAAGUCAAGGGUGGUGCCCGCUUCGGCGGCUAACGCGGCGGAGUUCCUCGUCUGCCGUAGCCUGGGGAUCGUCAAGGAUGGUGAAGAAGCCACGACCAAGGCGUUGGAUGCCUUUGCGAAGCGCUUCAAGGACCAUCUACCCAAUGAAGUGCUCUCCGCCAUGCGUAAGUUGUUCAAGGUCGACAACGCGCACACCACUACAGUUGAAGACGCCUUCAUUUAGCAUGUAGGCGAGGGAGCCAUGGACGUCGAGAGGAUGGAGGAUGCGGCCGUUGUCAUCCAGGGCUCCAUCUCGGCCUUGCUAUCUAUCUGAUCAAGUGUGUAUGGUCCGUUCUCAUGUUAGAAAAACCUAUCAAUGUCCUAUGUUGGAACGUCCGAGGGAUAAACUGUCCGGACCGUCGAGCUACUAUGAACGCCACCGUCGCUGCAUCAUGCUACCACAUUGUAUGUCUUCAGGAGACUAAGCUUGUCACAGUAGACUCCUUCACAGCUACGUUCCUUGGCGGUUAUAGGCUGCCCAAUUUUGCACAAAGGCCUGCAGACGGCACUAGAGGAGGCAUCGUUCUGCUCUAGGACGAUCAUCUGGUCGAGAUGUCGCACAUCACCACCACUAACUUUGUCUCUCCGUGUUAGUCCAUAUUCGAGGCACCAAAGUGCAAUACAAGCUCACCAUGGUCUAUGGCCCCACCAAUGCACCACACAAAGACGCUUUCUAUGCAGAGCUUCUUAGCCACAAGCCACAACACGACAUGCCUUGGCUGGCGGCUGGCGACUUCAAGCGAAUCUACCAUGCCAGAGACAAGAAUAAAAUACAUGUUAACCGAAGCAGAAUUAAUCGGUUCUGGGUGACGCUAGAAAGCUGUGAGCUUAAAGAGAUCCACCUGCAAAAUAGAAGAUUCACGUGGAGUAUCGAGAGAGACAAUCCGACUUUGUGGAAGCUCGACUCGUUCUUGUGCAGUGCUGAGUGGGAUACCACCUUUAGCACUCACCUACUAGAUGCUCUCUCUUCCUCGCUCUCUGAUCACUGCCAGCUACUGCUUGCGGACAAUAAAGGCUCAGGACGACCAAAAAUUUCAAAUUCGAAACCUUGUGGACAUCUAUGACUGGUUUUAUGGAGGUGGUGAACUAGGCAUGGAAUGAGACUAUCGCGCACACAGAACGCUAUCAAAUCUUCUUCCACAAACUGAAGAAGGUAGCGACACGGCUUUUUUGCAUGGAGCACGGGCUUAUUCUCCAAGGCAAGGUACACCUCCAUGCGGCCUUGCUGGUGUUCCUAUGCCUCGACAUCACUCAGGAGAACCGCCUACUUUCCAGCGAGGAACGCGACCUCAGGACACACCUGAAAAGAAGAGUCAUUAGCCCGGCUAUGCUUGAGAGAGCACGAAAGAAUCAAAGUGCAAGGAUUGCAAACCUUAGGAAUGGGGACGCCAACACCAAGUUCUUUCACCAUCAUAUCAAUUCUAGGCGGCAGAUGAACCAUAUAUACAUGAUCAAGAACGACCAAGGCUGGAUCAGUGAGCAUGACGACAAGGAGAAGCUCAUCCUGGACAACUUCUCCAACGUGAUGAAAAAGGGGGCAACACGUGCUAAGGAUUUCAAUUAGGAAGAACUGAUCGUCGAGAUGCUUGACUUGCAUGGGCUCGAUGCAACCAUCUCGGAAGAGGAGAUCUGCAAGGCAAUAAAUGAUCUUUCGAGCGACAAGGCACCAGGUCUUGAUGGCUUCACCGACAUUUUCUUUAAGAAAUGCUGGGAGAUUAUCAAACUCGACAUGAUGAGGGUCAUUCGUCAGUUUGACACCCUGCACACACCCGACCUUUGUUGGCUCAACUCCGCCAAUGUGGUGUUGCUGCCCAAGAAAGAGGGUGCUGAGGGGAUUGGCGACUACAUGCUAAUUAGCCUUAUCCACACCGUCUCCAAAAUCAUUGCAUCGCGACUUGCUCCACACAUGAAAAACUGAUAUCCAAUGCCCAAAGCACUUUUAUCAAAAGGAGAAGCAUUCACGAAAACUUCAUGUGUGUGCGAAACAUGGUAGGAAGGUUGAACAAAUGCAAGACCCGAGCCCUCCCAUUCAAGCUGGACAUUUGCAAAGCAUUCAACUCUUGUCAAAUGGGAAUACAUUCUCGACCUCCUUCGACGGAGGGGUUUCCCGCCCAAAUUUCGGGAUUGGGUUGUGGCUCUACUUUCCACUUCUUCUUCGAGGAUCCUUAUCAAUGAUGUGAUGGGCUGGCCCAUCAAGCACGGGUGCGGUCUUAGGCAAGCCCCCCCUCUCCCCACUCCUCUUUGACAUUGCCAUUGAUGUCCUGCAACAUCUUCUCGAUCUUGCAAUAAGAAAGGGAAUGCUUCGCAAGGUUCAAGGAAGAGGGGUUAUGGUCCGCACCUCACUGUAUGCGGAUGAUGCUACUGUCUGCAUGGCCCCUCUCAAAAGGGAUAUCGAUUAUCUCUCGGCCAUCUUGCGCGGUUUCGGGAGGUCACCGGACUAUGCACCAACUUUCACAAGAGCUCAGUUGUUCCCAUCAGAUGCAAUCAGCUAAACCUCGAGUGAAUUCUGUAGAGCCUUCCGACAAAGAGGACGACCUUCCCCGUUAGAUACCCAGGUGUCCCUCUGCCGGUCAGGAAGCUGAAGACUGUGGACUUCCAGUUACUCGAGGAUAAGGUUGCGAGCAAGCUGCUGACAUAUGAGGGCCAGAACAUCACCACCAUUGGGCGCAUGACACAUGUUAAGUCAGUUAUUUCAUCACUUUUUGUCUACUUCGGCACCUCAUUGGUCAUUCCGCCUGCCAUAAGACACAACAUCAACAAGCUAGAGGGGCAUUCCUUUGAUCGGGGUUGGACAAGACGACGGGGCCCAAGUGCAAGGUAAACUGUAACAUUGUCUGCCGCCCGCUGGAAUAGAGAUUCGUUGGUGUGUUAAACACAAACAAAUUCACGCCGGCCGUGCGGUUGAGGUGGCCUUGGUUCGAGUGGACCGCUCCACACAAGUUGUGGGUUGGUUUUGGGAAACCCGUGUGAUGAUAAAGAUCUGGAUUUCUUCUGCGCGUCAACGACGAUCACGGUGGGUAACGACGGCAAGACGCCAUUCUGGGACUCGCCUUGGCUGCAUGGGUGCAAGCCUAGAGAUCUGGCACCGCUCAUCUUCAUGGCCUCCACCAGGAAGAACUGGAAGGUGUGCGUGGCCCUAAAUGGCAACCCGUGGAUUCUCAAUAUCAAAACCACCACCGUUAUCUCCAUCGAGUACAUCUGUUCUUUCCUCACCCUUUGGACGAUGUUAAAUGACUUCCACCUUGAUGACCUCGCUGAAGAUACCAUUGUUUGGAAGCACACAAAGGGGGGACACUACUCCACAGCCUAUGCCUACAAGGCCCAAUUCCUUGUCUCGGUCUUCUCCCCCAUGGAGAAUAUGAUUUGGAGGGUCUGGGCGCCACCGAAGGCCAAGUUCUUCAUGUGAUUGGCUAUCUAAGAUCGUAUUUGGACUGCUGAUAGCCUGGAGAAAAGGGGCUGGCCAAAUUGUGGACUCUCCACCCUUUGCAAGCAUGAGAAAGAAAGUGGACCACAUCUACUCUUCAAAUGUCUUUACACGCUGAGCCUUUAGAGCUUGGUCAGGGAGAAAUAUGGGCUCCAUCACCUUGACACCUUAACUUGGCAUCUCAAGGAUUCAGUGCUGAACUGGUGGGUUGGCAGGACCGGCUCAGGGGUCCCCAAUAGGAAGGCAAUACCUUCUCUCGUCAUGCUUGUCUCAUGGAUGGUGUGGAACAACAAAAAUUCUCAGGUCUUCUAUCACAUGAGCGCUCCACCGUCCGUCCUUUUAAACACCAUUGAUCAAGAGGCAAACCUCUGGAUCACCGCAGGGGCAAAGAAUCUAGGCACCUUUGUUACGCACGAGUAAUUCCGCAUAUCGUGUAUGAGUGCACCAUUUGUAACAACAAUUCUCCUCUCUUAAUUAAUAUAUGGGGCAAAUCUUUGGCCUCCCUUUCAAAAAAUAUUAAUAUUUAUUCCAGUAACAAGAAAAAAAAUAAAUGGUUGGAACAAGGGUUUGAGCACCAUAAGUCUAGUUAUAGUUAUUACUAGCGUUCCAUCUCCAUGGCCACGGGUUCUUCCUUCAGAGCUGGACACGUGUCGCCGUGGCUUGAAAGCAUCAACCUGAUGUGGUAGAUGGAGAACGAUCGGAGGCUGUGCGUGAGUCUCCACCCCGAUCGGCAGGCAGGUCGCUGAUACGUCUCCAAUGUAUCUAUAAUUUUUUAUUGUUCCAUGCUCUUAUAUUAUCAUUCUUGGAUGUUUUGCAAUCAUUUUAUAGCAAUUUUAUAUCAUUUUUUGGGACUAACCUAUUGACAUAGUGCCCAGUGCCACUUGUUGCUUUUAUGCUUGUUUUUUUACUUCAGAGAAAAUCAAUAUGAAACGGAGUCCAAAUGUCACGAAACAUUUUGGAGAUUUUUUUCUGCCUAGAAGACAUCCAGAGGACCAAGGAAGCCAACUAAAGGAGGUCCAAGCUAACCACUAGGCACCAGGGCGCGCCUGCCCCCUCGCGUGGCCUAGUACCUAGUGGGCACCUCGUGGCCCAUCUUGGCGUGAUUCCAACGCAAAAAAUUCCUAUAAAUAGAGAAACCUCCAGAAAUAACCCUAGAUCGAAAGUUUCGCCACCGCAAGCCUGUGUAGCCGCGAAAAACAAACCAGGAGCCCGUUCUGGCACCCUGCCGGAGGGGGAGAUCAUCCCCGGAGGCCAUAUUCAUCAUCCCUAUGGACACCAUGAUGAGGAGGGAGUAGCCCACCCUCGGGGCUGAGGGUUUGCACCAGUAGCUAUGUAUUUAAUCUCUCUAUGUCUCUCUCUCGUGUUCUUGAGAUGUCAUGAUCUUGAUAUAUCACAUGCCUUGUUAAUAUAGUUGGAUCAUAUGGUGUUUGUCCCAUGCUAUUCUUGCGAUGAAUUGACUCUUUAACUUUAAGAUCUCGUUAUGUUGGAUUGGAUAUCCAGGUUUGAGAGCACAUGAUGUAUGUCUUGCAUGCGGAUACCCGUAGUGACAUUGGGGUUCUCAAGCGAUUCACUUGAUAUAUGUUUUGGCACUCAACUCGCGGAUUCCCAAGGUGACAUUUGGGUAAUCUAUGCAUAGGGGGUCAUGCACGUUUUCAUACUAUGUUCUCCGAUAGAAAUCUUGGGGUUCUCCUUGAAGUUCUUUGUGUUGGAUUGAAUAUGAAGAAUCUGAAAUUGUUUGAUGCAUCUCGUAUAAUUAGCCCACGGAUACAUGAGGUGACAUUCGAGUAUCUAGGUGACAUUAGGGUUGAUUGAUAUGUAUCACUCGUGUUAUUUUAGUAUGAAAUCUUAAAUAGAUCGAUCGGAAAGGAUAACUUGUUAUUCUAGUACGAACUCUUAGAAAGAUUGAUCGGAAAGAAUAACUUUGAGGUCGUUUCGUACCCUACAAACAAUUUCUUCUUAUGUUCUCCACUAGAUAGGAACUUUGGAUUGAUUCUUUGUCGCACGUUGAGAGAUUGUUGUGUGAUCCAAUUAUAGUAGCAUUGUUGAGUGAUUGCACUAGCGAAAGUACGGAUCCUAGGCCUCAUUAGCAUUGUAGUACAAUUUAUGCUCACUUUUUUACUUUCUACCUUGCUAUUUUUAUUAUUCCUAUUACAAAAAUCAAUAUCUACUAUCAUUACUACACUUGUAUCACCAUCUCUUCACCGAACUAGUACACCUAUACAAUUUACCAUUGUAUUUGGUCUGUUGGGGACACAAGAGACUUUUUAUUAUUUGGUUGCACGGUUGUUUGAGAGAGACCAUCUUCAUCCUACGCCUCACACGGAUUGAUAAAACUUAGGUCAUCCACUUGAGGGAAAUUUUCUACUAUCCAAAAAGACUCUGCGCUUGGAGGCCCAACACGAGUCUACAAGAACAAGUUGUGUAGUAGACAUCAAGCUCUUUUCUAGCGUCAUCGCGGAGGAGGUGAGUGCUUGAAGGUAUAUCUUUACAUCUUGCAAUUGAAUCUUUUAGUUUCUUGUUUUAUAACUAGUUUGGUUUUAUAAAAAGAGAAUUUUUUUUGGAAUUGAGGUGGUCUCAUAUUGUUCAUCUUUAUCAUGUCUUUCUUGAAAAUGAUGGAAAGGAAAAUUGUUCUCAAUUGCUAGAGGAAGAAUUUAUGAACAUGCUUAAUGUGAAUUCCUUGAAUGAUGAGCAUGAUAGUAAUAUUGUUAGUAGGAAUUAUCUGAAUAUCGAUGAUGCUAAUGAUAUGCAAAGGCACAAGCUUGGGGAUGCUAUGUUUGAGGAAGAUGAUAUUUUUAGUCCCCCAAGUUUUGAUGAGCAAAUUUAUUAUGAUGAAAGCAUGCCUCCUAUUUAUGAUGAUUAUAUUUAUGAAAGUGGGUUUGGAGGAGUGUCAACUCUAGGUACUAAUGAUCCCACUAUUUUGGAGGGUGUUGAAUAUUUUCAUAAUUAUAAAAGUGGAUUUGGAGAGGUCAUGACUUUAUUUAGUGAUGAGUCCACUAUUUUGGAAGAGGUUUCAAUUGACUAUGACAACAAAGUUCCUAUCUAUGAUGAUUAUUAUGAUGACAUGUUUGCUAUAAAUAGUAAUAAAAACCAUGAAACUUGUCAUCAUGAUUUUAAUUUUCAAUUGUAUUAUGCCACUCAAGUAUAUCAUGAUAGUUAUUUUGUUGAGUUUGCUCCCACUACUAUGAAUGAUAAGAAUUUUGCUUGUGUUUGCAGUAAUAAAAAAUCUAUGCUUGUCCAUCAUGAAAAUAAUGUUGUAUAUGAUAGUUAUAUUGUUGAAUUCCUUCAUGAUUCUACUGAAAACUAUUAUGAGGGAGGAACAUAUGCUUGUAGGAAUUGCAAUAAUAUCAAGUUUCCUCCCUAUGUGUUCAAAGUUUUGAAGUCAUGCUUGGUUUGCCUCCAAUACUAGUUGAUUCUUGCUCAAAUAAAUUGUUUGCUUGCAAAAUCUCUAUGCAUAUGAAGUAGGUUAGACUUAAAUGUUCUUGUCAUGUGAUUCUUGAUGCUCUCUUGCAUGCCUCAGUUAGUACUUUUUAUGUGAGCAUCAUUGAAAUCAUCAUGCCUAGCUAAAAGGCAUUAAAGAAAAGCGCUUGUUGGGAGACAACCCAAUAAUUAUCCUUAAUGUUUUUGAGUGUUCACAUGAUUAAGCUACUGUAUUAAUCAUUUUUUAUAGCUUUUAUUUCAACAAAGUGCCAAGUAAAGCCUUUGGGAUAGUGUGGUACUUGCUUGUUUGAUUCUGUGAUAAAACAUAAACUUUUACGUCCAGUGCAGAAUUUCUCUGAUUUUACUAGAGCAUAAAAUAAUUCUGAAAUUUUUACACAAUUUUGGAAUGCAAAUUCUCUGCAUUUUCCUAAUUGAUCAGAAUAUGUAGUUUAAGGGAAGUAAGGUUUUCAUUCAGAACUUCAAAGACUGCUCUCUUUUGACGGAUUCUGUUUUGCAUGCAUAGUUUGNNNNNNNNNNNNNNNNNNNNNNNNNNNNNNNNNNNNNNNNNNNNNNNNNNNNNNNNNNNNNNNNNNNNNNNNNNNNNNNNNNNNNNNNNNNNNNNNNNNNCUCUUACAAGGGGAAAAGUAAAGGAACAAGAUAGGCCCUUCGCAGAGGGAAGCAGAGGUUGUCAUGCGCUUUUGAGGUUUGGAUGUGUGUCCUCUUAGUGCGGAGGAACGUCACUUUAUAUUGCCUCCUGUGAUAAUGAACUUUAUUAUGCAGUCUGUCGCUUUUAUGUCUUCCUCAUCACAGGUUCGUACAAAGCUUCUGUUCCACGCACUAAUAGAUCAUACAUAUUAGAGAACAAUUUUUAUUGCUUGCACCGAUGACAACUUACUUGAGGGAUCUUAUUCAAUCCAUAGGUAGGUAUGGUGGACACUCAUGGCAAAACUGGGUUGAAGGUUUAUGGAUGCACAAGUAGUAUCUCUACUUGGUGCAGGAGUUUUGGCUAAUAUGAGGUGGAAGCAAUCGUCACAUGCUAAGGGAUCUCUAAUCAUAUAACAUUGUUUGGAACCAAGUAAACACAAUUCAUUAUGUUGUCUUCCUUGUCCAACAUCUACUUCUAGGCAUGUAAUAGUUUGGUGAGUGCUCACAAUUAUAGAAAGUGUCUAAGAUGAUAUAUUUAUAUGUGAACCUCUCUUUCCUUAUUACUUCUUAUUAAUUGCAACAAUGACCGAGGUCUAUGUUGGUCUACUCUCAACAAGUUUCAAUCAUCAUACUUGUUAUAUGUGAAGCUAUCACUUCCCAUAAGAUCAUCUCAUGAUCUUUCAUGCUAUCGUUCCUCUCAUACUUUUGAUCAUGGCACAAAACAAAGCCCUUGACUAAGAUACUCUUUAUUAUAUAGCUCGCAAGCUUGAAUACAUCGGGGGAGACACAAGGAAAAAGACUCAAACUAAACACUAAAGACUUAUUACACUAAGAGAAGAAAUAAAAACUGAAAAGGAAAGAACUAAAACAAAGGUAAAAGCAAAAGAUAUAAAGGUGACAUGAUACCAGGGAAACUCCCCCAAGCUUGGCAAAAGCCAAGGGGAUUGCCCAUACCAAUGCUUAGUUGUCUUCCUUUGGUGGUGAUGGUGGUGGUGUUGUUGAAGUAGUCUUGAGCUUGUCUAAUUUCCACUUGAGCAAAAAGUUCUGCUCCCUCAGAUCGUCAUUUUCCUCCUCAAGCGUCAACACUCUAUGACAAAGUUUCUGCUUACUCUCUGCAAGAAACGAGAAGGGAUAAACAAGGUCUUAGGCUUCUUCCUUUGGUCAGGGAGGCUUGACUUCUUGAACUCCACGUGAGUGCGUCCAGGUUGGGGUAGAGGAGCCUCCUCGUCAUCGGAACUCGUUUGUUCCUUCCCCUUGGGCUCAUAGUCCUCUUCCUCGUCAGUAGUCCAGCCAUAAGGCUCCAAGUCCCCAUUAAUCCUGGAGUUAGCACGAUCAUCGGCCACAUAGAUCUCUUCUUGUGAAUCUUGAGAAGUCAUCUUGACCUAAAUCUGCGGCAGACAACAGGCUCGAAACGAAAACACACGAAAACUGCGCGAUACGGAGAUCAAAACCCUAUAUAAUGAUUUUUUCUGGACCAGAAGGAGUACUCCGCAGGAAAAUGGAGUCCGGGAGGCACACGACCUGCCCACAAGCCCUGUUGCCGCGGCCAGGGGGGAGGCCGCGGCAACCAAGCUUGUGGCAGCCUCGUGCGCUCUCCGGACUGCUUUUUAUUUUUCUAAUUUUCCAUAAAUUCCAAAACGGAGAAAAUUUCCUAUUGGAAAAGUUUCGGAGUCCAAUUACUUACCGAAACAGAUACCUCUUGGUUUUCAGGGUCUGAAACAGGCUGAUAAACAUCCCUUAUGUACUCCUCUGGAGUUAUGAUAUUGAUGAUAUUGGUCUCAACAUUUAUGGGAGUACCAGAGAUAUAAUGCUUGAUUCUUUGCCCGUUUACCACUCUAGAAAAAUUGCCUUCCGUGUUAUUGAUUUUGAUGGCACCGGAACGAUAUACUUCCUCGACAACGUAGGGACCUUCCCAUUAAGAAAGAAGCUUGCCUGCGAAGAAUCUCAAACGAGAAUUAUAUAGUAGGACAUAGUCACCUACAUUGAACUCUCAUUUUUGUAUUCUUUUAUCAUGCCAUAUCUUAACCUUUUCCUUGAACAACUUGGCAUUCUCAUAGGCCUGGGCCCUCCAUUCAUCUAAUGAGCUGAUAUCAAACAACCGCUUCUCACCGGCAAGUUUGAAAUCAAAGUUGAGCUCUUUGAUUGCCCAAUAAGCUUUGUGUUCCAGCGCAAGAGGUAAAUGACAGGCCUUACCGUAAACCAUUUUAUACGGUGACAUGCCCAUGUGAUUCUUAUAAGUAGUCUUAUAAGCCCAUAGUGCAUCGUCAAGUUUGCUAGACCAAUUCUUUCGAGAUCUAUUGACGGUCUUUUGUAAGAUCAAUUUGAUCUCCCUAUUACUCAACUCCACUUGACCACUAGACUGAGGAUGAUAAGGAUAUGCAACUCUAUGGUUGACAUCGUACUUAGCGAGCAUCUUGCGGAAAACACCAUGAAUGAAGUGUGAACCGCCAUCAGUCAUCAGAUAUCUAGGGACUCCGAAUCUUGGGAAAAUGACUUCUUUAAGCAUCUUAAUAGAGGUGUGGUGAUCAGCAUUCUUAGUGGGGAUAGCAUCUACCCACUUAGUGACAUAAUCCACAGCAACUAAGAUGUGAGUGUACCCAUUGGAACUCGGGAAAGGUCCCAUAUAAUCAAAGCCCCAGACAUCAAAUGGUUCAAUGACCAGUGAAUAGUUCAUAGGCAUUUCGUGAUGCUUACUGAUGUUCCCUGUUCUUUGGCAUUCGUCACAAGACAGGACAAACUUACGCGCAUCCUUGAAGAGCGUGGGCCAAUAGAAACCUGAUUGCAAUACCUUAUGAGCAUUUCUGUCUCCAGCAUGGUGUCCUCCGUAAGCCUCGAAAUGACACUUCUGCAGGAUCUGUCCCUGUUCAUGUUCAGGCACACAACGUCUAAUAACACCAUCUACUCCUUCCUUAUAGAGGUGAGGAUCAUCCCAAAAUUAGUGUCUCAAAUCAAAGAAGAAUUUCUUCUUUUGUUGGUAGGUGAAACUGGGUGGUAUGUAUUUGGCUACGAUAUAGUUUGCGUAAUCAGCAUACCAUGGUGCACUAUGUGAAGUGCGGAUGACAUUCAAUUGCUCAUCAGGAAAGCUGUCAUCAAUAGGUCGUGGGUCAUCAAGGACAUUCUCUAGCCUAGACAAGUUAUCUGCUACAGGGUUAUCAGCACCCUUUCGGUCAACAACAUGCAAAUCAAAUUCCUGUAGCAGAAGAACCCAUCUGAUUAGCCUAGGCUUAGCGUCCUUCUUCUCCAUGAGGUACUUAAUAGCAGCAUGAUCAGAGUGAAUAGUGACUUUGGAGUCAACUAUAUAAGAUCUGAACUGUUCACAUGCAAAUACGACUCCUAAAAACUCCUUCUCUGUAGUGGCAUAGUUUCUUUGGGCACUGUCUAGAGUUUUACUAGCGUAGUGAAUGACAUUCAACUUCUUUUCAACUCUUUGUCCUAGAACAGCACCAACAGCAUAAUCACUAGCAUCGCACAUGAUUUCAAAGGGCAAGUUCCAGUCUGGUGGUUGAACAAUAGGUGCGGUUAUCAAGGCCUUCUUAAGUAUUUCGAAAGCUUCCUCACAAUCCUCAUCAAAAACAAAAGGAACAUCCUUCUGCAAGAGGUUGGUAAGAGGCCUAGAAAUCUUAGAAAAGUCUUUAAUGAACCUUCUAUAGAAACCAACAUGACCUAGGAAACUUCGUAUACCUCUGAUAUCUGUGGGGCAAGGCAUUUUCUCAAUUGCAUCAACCUUAGCCUUAUCAACUUCAAUGCCUCUCUCAGAGAUUUUGUGUCCUAAGACGAUGCCUUCAUUAACCAUGAAGUGGCACUUCUCCUAGUUCAAGACAAGGUUGGUAUCCUUGCAUCUCUGUAAGACUCGAUCAAGGUUGCUGAGGCAAUCGUCAAAGGAAGAACCGUAGACGGAGAAAUCAUCGAUGAAAACCUCAACAAUCUUUUCACAAAAGUCAGAGAAUAUAGCCAUCAUACAUCUUUGAAAGGUGGUUGGUGCAUUGCACAAGCCAAAAGGCAUGCGUAUAUAAGCGAAGGUACCGAAGGGGCAUGUGAAGGUGGUUUUCUCUUGAUCAUAUUAUGCAACAGGUAUUUGUGAGAAACCUGAAUAACCGUCUAGAAAGCAGAAGUGUGUGUGUUUAGAUAGCCUUUCUAGCAUCUGGUCAAUAAUAGGCAAAGGAUAAUGGUCUUUCCUAGUUGCCUUGUUCAGUUUCCGGAAGUCUAUCACCAUCCUAUAGCCAGUAAUAAUCCUGUGCGGGACUAGUUCAUCCUUAUCAUUAGGAACGACGGUGAUACCUCCCUUCUUAGGUACGCAAUGUACUGGACUUACCCAAUCACUAUGAGCAACAGGAUAAAUGAUUCCUGCUUCCAGAAGCUUUAAUAUUUCUUUUCUCAUGACCUCUUUCAUCCUAGGAUUUAAUCUCCUUUGAUGAUCAACAACUGGCUUAGAAUCAGGAUCGGUUUUAAUCUUGUGCUGACAUAGAGUGGGACUAAUACCCUUAAGAUCAUCAAGAGUAUAUCCAAUAGCCUCACGGUGCUUCCUCAAAGUUUUUAAUAACUUCUUCUCUUCGUGACUCGAGAGGUGAGCACUAAUAAUAACAGGGUAUAUCUCCUUCUCAUCAAGAUAGGCAUACUUAAGAGUAUCUGGUAACUGUUUUAGCUCGAACACAGGAUCUCCCUUUGGUGGGGGAGGAUCCCCAAGCAGUUACAGGCAAAUUAUUCUUGAGAAUAGGAUAUUGUUCUAAGACAAUUUUAUCUAUCUCAUCUAUUUCCUCCAUAUGCAUAUCAUUUUUAUGCUCAAGCAGAUAUUGCUCUAAAGGAUCUGUAGGAGGUACGACAAUAGAGGCAAGAGCAAUGAUUUCAUCCCUACCAGACGACUCUUUUUCAUGGGGUUGUCUUCCAAACUUGGAGAAGUUAAAUUCAUGAGACACACGCUCGAAACUAACCGUGACAGUCUACUUAAUGCAAUCAAUGUGAGCAUUGACACUGUUGAGAAAGGGUCUACCAAAUAUGAUGGGACAAAAGCUAUCUUGUGUAGUACCAAGGACGAGGAAAUCAGUAGGAUACUUCGCCUUACCACACAGGACUUCUACGUCUCUCACAAUUCCUAGAGGGCACAUAGUGUCUCUAUUAGCUAGCGUAAUAGUGACAUCAAUGGGUUCUAACUCAGCAGGUGCAAUCCCAUCUUUGAUUUCAUCAUAUAGGGAACGAGGUAUUGCACUAACACUAGCUCCCAUAUCACAUAAACCAUGGUAAUAGUGAUCUCCUAUCUUGACAGAAACAACGGGCAGGCCAACUACAGGUCCGUAUUUGUCUUUCGCGUGAGGUUUAACAAUUCUAGCGGAGUCCUCACAGAAUUUGAUAACAUGCCCGUCUAUGUCUUCGGCUAAGAGAUCUUUGAUAAUAUCAACUCUAGGUUCAACUCUAAUUUCCUCAGGGGGUGCAAGUGGUCUAAUGUAACCCCUACGUAUCACAGUUAGAGCUUUAGAAUAAUCCUUUAUCCUAGCAGGGUAAGGUGGUUUCUCGGUGUAGCCACAAGGAACAACAGGAUCACUAAAAUCAAUGACUUUCUCCUCAACUAGAUUGGUUUUGGCUAUGUUCCUUUCUACAGGAGGAUGAUAUUUAAACCACUUCUCUUUGGGAAGAUUUACAUGAGCAGCAAAAUAUUCACAUAGAGAAGCUACUAUCUCAGAGUCAAGUCCAUACUUAGCGCUAAAAUCUCUAGAAGUGUUUGUCUCAACAAAAGAUUUAACGCAAUCAAAGUGGAAAUUCAUACCUGACUCCUUACCUUCUUCUAGCUCCCAAUCUUCAGAGUUACGUUUGAUUCUUUCCAAUAAAUUCCACUUGUGGUCAAUAUCCUUGUUCAUAAAAGAACCGGUACAAGAAGUGUCAAGCAUGGUACGAUCUUCAUGAGAAAGCCGAGCAUAAAAGUUUUGAGUGAUAAUUUCUCUCGAGAGCUCAUGAUUGGGGCAUGAAUAUAGCAUUGAUUUAAGCCUCCCCCAAGCUUGAGCUAUGCUUUCCCUGUCACGAGGCCAAAAGUUAUAAAUAUAAUUCCGAUCACGAUGUACUAAAUGCAUAGGAUAAAACUUUUGUUGAAAUUCCAAUUUCAACCGAUUGUAGUCCCAUGAUCCAGUAUCAUCACAUAGCCUAUACCAUGUCAACGCCUUAUCCUUCAAAGAUAAAGGAAAGACUUUCUUCUUUACCUCAUCCUCAGGCAAACCUGCAAGCUUAAAUAAACCACAAACUUCAUCUACAUAGAUUAGAUGCAAGUCUGGAUGUGAAGAUCCAUCUCCUGUAAAAGGAUUAGCCAACAGUUUCUCAAGCAUACCCGAAGGGAUUUCAUAAGAGAUAUUUUCAGUAGGUACCUCAGGUUGAGGAACAACUCCUCGUGAUUCCGUUCGUGGUGAAGAUACGCCGAACAAACUCCUCAAAGGAAUAGUUUCCAUAGUGACAAGUGACAAUGAAUUUCAGCACAGUAUAUAAAUGUUUCCUUACCAAAUUCCACUUACCAAAGGCGCUCCCUCCCCGGCAACGACGCCAGAAAAGAGUCUUGAUGACCCACAAGUAUAGGGGAUCAAUCGUAGUCCUUUUGAUAAGUAAGAGUGUCAAACCCAACGAGGAGGAGAAUUCUCUGAUAAAAGUUUUUCAGCAAGGUAAUAACUGCAAGCACUGAAAGUAGCGGUAACAAGUGAUGGUGUAGUGAGGUGAAAUGUAGCAAGCGAAAAGUAACAAGUAACAAGUAGUAGCAACGGUGCAGAAAGUGGUCCAAUCCCUUUUGUAGCAAGGGACAAGCCUGAACAAAGUCUUAUAAGAGGAAAAAUGCUCCCGAGGACACACGGGAAUUUCUGUCAUGCUAGUUUCAUCAUGUUCAUAUGAUUCAAGUUCGUUACUUUGAUAGUUUGAUAUGUGGGUGGACCGGCGCUUGGGUACUGCCCUUACUUGGACAAGCAUCCCACUUAUGAUUAACCCCUCUCGCAAGCAUCCACAACUAUGAAAGAAGAAUUAAUACAAUGUCUAACCAUAGCAUUAAACUAGUGGAUCCAAAUCAGCCCCUUACGAAGCAACGCAUAGACUCGGGUUUAAGCUUCUGUCACUCCAGCAACUCAUCAUCUACUUACUACUCCCCAAUGCCUUCCUCUAGGCCCAAAUAUGGUGAAGUGUUGUGUAGUCGACGUUCACAUAACACCACUAGAGGAAAAACAACAUACAUCAUAUCAAAAUACCGAACGAAUACCAAACUCACAUGACUAUUAUUAGCAUGACUUAUCCCAUGUCCUCAGGAACAAAAGUGACUACUCACAAAGCAUAAUCGUAAUCAUGAUCAUAGGUGUAAUGAAUAGCAUCAAGGAUCUGAACAUAAACUCUUCCACCAAGUAAUCCAACUAGCAUCAACUACAAAUAGUAAUCAACACUACUAGCAACCUUACAAGUACCAAUCGGAGUCGUGAGACGGAGAUUGGUUCCAAGAGAUGAACUAGGGAUUGGAGAGGAGAUGGUGCUGCUGAAGAUGUUGAUGAAGAUGCCUCCCCUCCGACGAGAGGAGUGUUGGUGAUGACGAAGGCGACGAUUUCCCCCUUCGGGAGGGAAGUUUCCCCGGCAGGAUCGUCCUGCCGGAGCUCUAGAUUGGAUCUGCUCAAGUUCCGCCUCGUGGCGGCGGCGAAACCACGAAAAAGCUCGUGAAUGAUUUUUUUUCUGGAACGAAACCCUUCAUAUAGCAAAAGAGGGGGGCCAGUGGGCUGCAAGGGUGCCCACAAGCCCUGUUGCCGCGACAACCAGGCUUGUGGGCCCCUAGUUGCUCCCCUCUGACACUUCUUUCGCCCAGUAUUUUUUUAUAAAAUCCAAAAAAAUCCACGUUGAUUUUCAGGACAUUUGGAGUUGCGCAGAAUAGAGCACUCAGACUUGCUCCUUUUCCAGUCCAGAAUUCUAGCUGUCGGUAUUCUCCUCUUCAAAUAAACCUUGCAAAAUUAGAUAGAAAAGGCAUAAGUAAGGUUCCACAAAGUAUAAUAACAUGAAAGCAUGAUGCAAAAUGGACGUAUCAGGGGUCGUGCGGACUCUGUCGGGUGUAGAUCCGGCCGGCGCAACCCAGGUCGGCCAACGUUGGGGGCGCGGCGCGACAUCGGCCAAGGGGGCCGCGGCGAGGAGGGAGCGCGACACAACACGGCGCAGGACGAGCGGGGCAUGGUGCAACGAGCUGGCGGCGAUCGGCGUGGGCGGGGCUAGCGAGCACGGCAAGCGGGCAACGACCAACGUAGACGUGGCGACCUUGGGGAGGCGCGGCGUCCUGUGGGAGGCGGGCGAGCGGGGCGAGCGGGGGGAGGCGGGCGAGCGGGGGGAUUGACCGCGAGACGACGUGGGGGGUGGGCAAUUAGCGCUAACAAAAACUGUCUAGUUUGGUUAAUGAAAUAGACAGACCAUGGAUUAAGUGUUUGGAGGGUCUAGAUGUAGAGAUGGAUCUUCCCUCUUGUGCUUUUAAUAGUAGAUAUGUAAGAUCGACAACUUUUACUUGCUUUCAUUAUUUUUCAACUAGAAACUUUCUCAAUUUGUAUUGAAAUAAUAUAAUGCACACCUCAUGUUUGCCUUCAUGUUUCUCUUUUAAAGUAUUAUAGUUAGUGAGGAUUCAAUUUUGCAUCAUGGGCUUUUAUACGCCGCUCACGGGGUGCAUUAUAUGUUGGAUACUAGCAUAAAGUAUGUGCAUUGCCAUGGAACUAGAAAAAUCAUUUAGUUGCAUUAGAGUAGUACUUCCUGUGUAAACUAAUAUAAGAACGCUUAGAUUACUAAAGUAGUGUUCUAAAUGCUCUUAUAUUAGUUUAUGGAGGGAGUACAUAACAACUAAUACGCCCCUAACACUUUGAAGAACAAAUUAAACAUGGAGCUAACGUUGUACUUACUUACACGAGUGUGCCAACGUCGGGAGCAUCAUGAUAAGAUAUGUUUUAUCUCUUUUCACGCCGGAUUAGUCCGGUGAGUUUUAGAUGGAUGAGAAAUGAUGAAAACAUCCCUACUACAGUUACAACCACACCCCACGCAAACUAAAGUCUCACAAAUAUAAGGGACAAUGAUCAAAGCUUGCACACAAUAACUUAAUUAUGAGGUAUUUGAUUUUCUAUGAACUUUCACUAUUGUUCAUGAGACUAUAAUGUUGUCUAAGUCAGACGUAUUUGUAUUUUCAGGACUGAAAGGUCGAGCAUGGACAAGCGGGACACGUACUAUAGUAUGAUCAAGCCUGGAGAUGGCAUCACGUCUACAAGAAGCGAAAACUAAAAGCACAACUUCUUCCUAAGGUGGUUUUAGUAAUUAAUCACAACAUAUGUGUCAUUGAACUAAUGAUCUUAUCUAAGUAUAUUUCAGAAAAGUUCAAAGAUGCAUUGGCUAAGGAUUAUGAGGAGAACCCCUUGAUGCAAGGAAAGGAAUAGGAUUGGCCAAGCUUCAAGCUACAAGACUCUACAUUUUAUAUUUGUGAGAAAUCACAUUUGAGUCCGUAGGAAAACCAAUACUAUUAAAAGGGGGUGAGGUAUCUAUGAUGAAUUGGUUGCUCAAGAGCUUAGAGAUAUCCACCAAAAAUACUCAGUCAUUCUCCUACAAAAGUUAUCUAUCCAAAGCCUAAACAUCAAAAUCGGUGUCACCAAGAUUUUCCAUCCGGCCCUACCGAUUUUCCACCAGACUGAACCUUUGCCAAACCAUAGAAUCUCGGUACCACCAACGUUCCAUUCAGUGUCACCAAAAAUCAGUGACGAAGUUUCUGGUAUGUUGUUUUCAAAAUCAGAAAUUUCGAGUCUUGGAAUUGGUCUCACCGAGAUUUGGAAACUGCCCUAGAUCACCAUAUCGGUACCACCGAGAUUCCUACAUCGGUCUCACCGAGAAUUCGAAAGUAGCAACAUUUUGUGCAAAUCGGUGCCAUCGAGAUUCACUUUGGUUUCACCGAGUUGGGCAAUAAUGUUGUAAUGACUGGAUUUUGGGAGAUGCCUAUAUAUACCCAUCCACCACCUCUCAUUCGCAGAGAAAGCACUCAGAACACACAUACACUUGCCAUAUCCAUUUUUCUGAGAGAGAGCCACCUACUCAUGUGUUGAGAUCAGGAUAUUUCAAUCCAUCCAUUUGAAACUUGAUCUCUAGCCUCCCCAAGUUGCUUUCCACCCAAUCGAUGUGCUCUACCCAUGACAAAUCUGUGAGACAGUGAUUGAGUGUUGAGGCGACUAUAUUUUGAAGCAUAAGAGCAAGGAGUUCAUCAUUCUACCGCAUCUAUUACCUUUUGGAGGGUGGUGCCUCUUAGAUUGGUUAGGUGUCGCUUGGGAGCCUCCUAUUUCGUAUUGUGGAGUUGAACCAAGAAGUUUGUAAGGGCAAGGAGAUCACCUACUUCAUGAAGAUCUACCCUAAGUGAGAAUAGUCCUUCGUGGGUGUAAGCCAUGAUGGAAUAGACAAGGUUGCUUCUCCAUGGACCCUCCGUGGAAUCGUGUUGUCGUUACCCUCCAUGGGUUGAAAUCUCCAUCAACGUGGACAUACGAUAGCACCACCUAUCGGAACCAUGCCAAAAAUCAUUGUGUCAACCUUUGCAUUUGAUCUUCCUAUCCCUACCCUCUACUUACAUAUGCAUGGCAUUACUUUCCGAUGCUAUACUCUUAGUCUUGCAUGUGUGGGGUGUGCUUGACUUACAACAAUUGUUAAAACUUGCCCACAACUAAAAUUGGAAAAAGGCUAAGUUUUUAUCUGGUCAGGUAGUCUAAUCACCCCCCUCUAGACAUACUUCAGAUUCUACAAGUGGUAUCAGAGCUUUGGUCUCCAUUGCAUUGGUUUCACAACCUAGGAAAGUAUGCCGUCUAGUGAGGGAAAUUAUCAUCGUAUAGGUCCAUAUUUUGAUGGUACAAGAUUUGCUAGUUGGAAGCUUAAGAUGAAAUGCAUAUUCUUGGUCAUAACCCUGCUGUUUUGGUUGUUGUUUGUGUUGUUUUGCAAGGUCAAUUCUUUGGUGAUCGAAUGGAACCAGAACGUGAAGCUACUUACUUCGAAAGAAUUGAAGAUGUUGCAAUGCAACGCUUAAGCAUGCGACAUUCUGUUCAACUGCCUCGGCCCCGAAGAGUUCUACGAGAUCAACUGUCUUUGCUCAUUCGAGGAUAUCCAAUUGUUGUUAUUUGGCAUUCCAUUUUAUUUGGCCAAUUGGAUAUACAAGAAUGCCUAAGUACCCCUCUCUAGCUAUCUAUGAUUUCUCGUCUCAAAUUCUAUUCAUGCUACAUCACAAAAUUUGAGCAAGCACUUUAGGGACACUCUGUGUGAGGAGCACUCGGGAUCCUCUCGACAAGAGUUGGCAUCCAAAACUUCCCAUGUGCCGCUCGAUGUGACCAACCCCAAAAUCUCGCUCCCAUCGAAGCACUAGGGUUGAUCUAGUUUUAUGAUCUCGGUAGCACCAAUUUGUAAAUCUUGGCCUCACCGAGUUUCACUUUCACCACACAUUUAUGAAACUCGGUGGCACCGAUAUUUCUAAUGCGAUGUCACCUACAGAGGGUAUAUAUAUAUCCAGCGGACCCGACUUUUUAAAUCAAUUUUCAAAUUUCGCCCUCCAGAAACCCUUGUUGCCGUGCUUGAGUCUACGGAUGUCUUAUCUUCCUCUCAGUGCGCCCUUGCCACCGGAGUUCCUCGCCGCCGCCGGGAAUCUCCUCCGUCGUUGCCACCGUAGGAGAUCUGCACCAAGUUAGGGUAAAGAUCUUGCCCCUCUUGUGUUCAGUGUCCAAUUCUUGCACAUUAGGACUUUUUCAUCAUCUUGCCACGGAUUGCAAAGCACCUAUCCACAGAAAACGCCUACUAUAUUAGGUGUACGAAAAAAAUUUAGGUUUAAUUUUCUGCCUUUCUGUCUCAGUGUCACCGAUGCAGAGAAAUUAGUCCAACCGAUUUUACUUUUAGGGUUACUAAGAACACUCUCAGUGAGACCGGGCUGCUCAUUUCGGUGAAACCGAAGUGGGUGGCCAAGUCUGUGUUAAUGAGAGUGUAUGCCUCGGUGACUCCAAAAAUUAUGAAUCGUUGGAACCGAAACCCACUUAGAUGAAAGUGAAACUUAAAACUUUGAGUUGAAAUUCUUGAAAACUUUUGUGUUUUGUGAUGCUCAUCCACUCCUGCUCUUCUACAACUAUUCACAGGGUCAGCUUGUUUGCUUGUCAGCUUGUAAGCAUGUCAGGGUCUGAAGACAGCGAGAAUGUUUCUAGAGAACCAUGUGUGGAAAUGGACCCAUGCACUAGUCUAGAGAAGACUACUUCUGAUCUAGGCGCUCCAAGUUCACAUGAUAUGCCAAAGGCUACUACCAGGUCCAGGAAGAAGUUGAUUUCAAAUGAGGAGGAUACUGGCUUCAUUCUUGAAGAAAGCAUUCCUCACAAGAAUAAGGAGAGAGUAACGGUCAGAAAGAUCCUAGAGUAUGUUUCAGCCAAGAGAGGGUUGUAUCAAUCCUCUGAGCAACCAAGUGGGUCUAGAAGGAUAAAGACUCUAGCCAAGAAGCCACGGCAAAAGAGAAUUAGGAAGAGGACAGUGCAUGUUGUUGGAAGGCCAACAUAUAUGUAUGAAGAUCCAACCGAAUCUGUUGAGGAAGAAGAGGAAGAGGAACCUGCCAAUCCACCUCCUUCCAAGAAGAAGAACCCGAUGGCUCAUGCUAUGCCCACAAGUCUACUCCAAAGAGAAAGUCUUCUGCUCCCAAGGCCAAGAAGCCCGUAGCUCCUAAGCCCAAGAGAACUACAAGGAAAUUCCUGCAGCACAGAAAAACAAAAAGUUGUGCAUCCAGAGAUGUUGCUGUAGAAGAAGAAGAAGAACAUGUUAUGCUGAGAAAGAUGAGAGCUCACCUACCAUUGCAUAAUGAUGAUCAUCAUGUCACCGAGGACAUGAAGAAGAGAAGAGAUCAAGGUCUGAGACUAUGGAGAGCAGCAUAUCCCUAUGUUGUGAGAAGAACACCUGUUGAUGCUCGAUUUCAUACCAAAGAGCAACAAGAUUUCUAUAAGACUGUGAUUUUGGACAUGAGUCCUGUUGUAAGCGAUAUGAAAUGUAGAUUGGGGCUACAUCAAGAAACAUGAGGACUUAUUUCCUCAUGUGAGAGAAAACUUCAGGGCUAUUGAUAUUGAAGAUUUUGUUGGCAGAGAGAUGACUGCUUGGAAUGAUGAGAUGAUCAUGCAGUUCUACUUCGCUGCACGUUUCUAUCCGGAUGGUAGAAUUGUGUGGAUGACUGAAGGUUAGAGAUCGAGUCAACUAUUGAGGAGUGGGCAACCAUCAUAGGUGAUCCAAAGGUUCAAGAAGCGACUUGGAUGUGUACUCUGGGCCAAAAAUGAAUCGUAACUCUAUGACUAAUAUGUACAAUCCAGUGCUCCACAAGUAUUUGAAGGCCCACAAGCUUGGCUCUGUCUAUUUCCUACAAGCAGGAAUACCCACUACCCACACUAUUAUGAGGUACACCCUAAUGCCUAAAUCAAGAGAUGAUAAGAUGAUCAGAGGGUAUUCCAUUAACAUGUUGCACCACAUUAUCACUCACACCAAGAUUACAGUGAUGGAUAUGAUAGUUGAGAUAGUCAGGAGGACUGUUGCUGAUCAAAAGAGAUCAUGCGGAUAUGCUCUGUACAUGCAGAUGUUGAUAAACUCCAAGAUGGAGAAGAAUGCAUAUCAACUUUAUCGUCCACAUCUGCCACUACAGCCUGAAUUUGAAGACAAUGAAGUUGUGAUGGACCCCAGCCAUCCCAGUUCAUCUUCAGCUCGUGUACAUGCAGAGACAACAUUAGAGGCAGAGGAAGCCAGAGCAUCUCCAGCUCCAGAGUUGUGAACCCGAGAGGAACAAACGACAUUCCUUGUCAGCACCAUCCAGAGGAUGGAGAAAUAAAUUACAUACAUCUUACUAAACCAGAAGAGUCUUGAGAGGAUCGUGGAGACAAAAUUCCAUGACCUGGACAUCAAAGUGACGGAGUUGACUACCACUUUUGAACAGCUGAAACAUGAAGUUUAUGCAGUGCACACACCUUGAUCUAGUAGUGAUGGUGAGGAUGAUACGUUUCUUCCCACUACCACUCAGUUCAGAACUCAGGCCAGAUCUGUAGUUGUGUUAGUACCGGAAGCCAGACCAACUUCAUCAGCCCAAGCAUCAGCAUCUUCACCUCCAUUAGCUCCACCAGCUCCUGCACCUCUAGUGUCAACAGCUCCACCUCAGAAGAUUUCAGCCGAUGCUCUCUUGUCAACUCCAUCAACUACUAUUGAACGAGAUUGUGCCGAGAGCAAUGCUUAGUUCUAGACCUUUGAACUUCUUGUUAACUUGUUGCCAAAAGGAUAGAAGUGUAUAGAUCUAUAGGGCUGAGAGAGAGAGAGAGAGAGAGAGAGAGUUGUGCUUUUUAUUGCUCUCUUUGGUUUUACAAAACAUUUGGUCUUUUGGAUGUCUUAAACUUCGUUGUGUUUGAUCAUACGCUUUGAUUGUUGAUGCUACUACUUUAUAUCUUUGAGUAUCUACAUGAUGAUCAUUCACUCAUUGUUUGGUGCAAUGUGCAUUUCUAUCCAUUCAUAUAAUUUAUGCACACCACCAAGAUGUAUGUGACAUGGAAGAGUGACCCAUGAUCCUAAUCGAUUGUGCAUUUGCAUUCAAGCGCAAAUCUGAAAUAAUGCACAAAUUUAGGGGGGAGCUCUUCCUUUUCAAAAACUUCUCAAAGCGACGAUGCUAAUCAUUGAUUAUAUCUUUUGUCUAAGCUUUGAUCUAUAUGUUGUCGUCAAUUACCAAAAGGGGGAGAUUGAAGCACAACUUCUCCCUAAGGUAGUUUUGGUAAUUAAUCAUAACAUGUGUGUCAUUGAACUAAUGAUCUUACCUAAGCAUAUUUUAGAAAAGUUAAAAUAUGCAUUGGCUCAGGAUUGUGAGGAGAACCCCUUGAUGCAAGGAAAGGAAUAGGAUUGGUCAAGCAUGAAACUACAAGACUCUACAUUUUAUAUUUGUGAGAAUUUACAUUUGAGUCCAUAGGAAAGCCAAUACUAUUAAAAGGGGGUGAGGUAUCUAUGAUGAAUUUGUUGCUCAAGUGCUUAGAGAUAGUCACCAAAAAUACUCAACCAUUCUCCCAAAAAAGUUUGAUGUCCAAAGCCUAAACAUAGAAAUCAGUGCAACCAAGAUUUUCCAUUCGGCCCUACCGAUUUUACACCAAACUGAACCUUUGCCGAACCCUAGAAUCUCGGUACCACCAACAUUCCAUUCGGUGCCACCAAAAAUGAGUGACCAAGUUUCCGGUAUGUCGUUUUCAAGAAUUGGAAAUUCCGAGUCUUGGAAUCGGUCUCAUCGAGAUUUGGAAACUUCCCUAGUUCACCAUAUCGGGACCACUAAGAUUCCUAUAUCAGUCUCACCGAGAACUCGAAUGUUGCCGCAUUUUGGACAAAUUGGUGCCACCGAGAUUCACUUAGGUAUCAUCGAGUUGGGAAAUAAUGUUGUAACAGUUGGAAUUUGGGAGAUGCCUAUAUAUACCCAUCCACCACCUCUCAUUUGCACAGGAAGCACUCAGAACACACAUACACUUUCCAUAUCAAUUUUUCUAAGAGAGAGCCACCUACUCAUGUGUUGAGAUCAAGAUAUUCCAAUCCAUCCGUUUCAAACUUGAUCUCUAGGCUUCCUAAGUUGCUUUCCACCCAAUCAAUAUCUUCUACCCAUGGAAAAUCCGUGAGAGAGUGAUUGAGUGUUGAGGAGACUAUCUUUUGAAACACAAGAGCAAGGAAUUCAUCAUUCUACCGCAUCUAUUACCUUUUGGAGGGUGGUGCCUCCUAGAUUGUUUAGGUGUCGCUUGGGAGCCUCCUUCUUCGUGUUGUGGAGUUGAACCAAGAAGUUUGUAAGGGCAAGGAGAUUGCCUACUUCGUGAAGAUCUACCCUGCGUGAGGCUAGUCCUUCGUGGACGUAAGCCCUGAUGGAAUAGACAAGGUUGCUUCUCUGUGGACCCUCCAUGGGUUGAGCCCUCCAUGGACUCACAUGGCUGUUACCCUCUAUGGGUUGAAGUAUCCAUCAACGUGGACGCAUGAUAGCACGACCUAUCGGAACCACACCAAAAAUCAUUGUGUCAACCUUUGCGUUUGAUCUUCCUAUCCUUACCCUCUACUUACAUAUGGAUGCCAUUACUUUCCGCUGCUAUACUCUUAGAAUUGCAUGUGUAGGGUGUGCUUGAGUUACAACAAUUGCUAAAACUUGCCCACCACUGAAAUUAGGAAAAGGCUAAGUUCUUAUUUGGUCAAGUAGUCUAAUCACCUCCCCCUCUAGCAUACUUCAGAUCCUACAAAAAUGGGGCUUCAAGUUUGAAAGUGCUAGUUCUCGACUAGAGGGGGAUGAAUAGGCGAUUUUUAUUAAAAGUUUCGAAAAAGUAAAUGUACUCAAAGUUAAGUGGAAGCUAUAUAGGAUCAUGUUGGGAUAACAAUCAAGGAUCUAGGCAUACCAUGCAAUAGUAUGAAUACAUUCACACAUAUAGAGCAUAACCAUCAUGCAGACUAAGAUGUAUCGAAGAUAAACUUAGGUAGUGUGAAUAUAAACGACAGUUAGGAAUGUCUUCGAUGAAUGUCUUCGAGUUGAUAUGCUCAAGCAAUGCCUUCACAAUAUAGUACAGUAAGUAAGAGAUUGAAAGAUAGAACGAGUAGCUUGAUGAAGACACAUGAUUCGUUGGACUAGUUCCACUUGCUGUGACAACUAUACGUCUGGUUGGGGAGGCUUAAACCUCGUCUUCACCUUGAUCCCCUUGAGUCGAGGACUUUGUGACCACGCCCAAUCACUCAGGUAAGUAUUCAGGGGAGACUUCCGAAACCCGUUCAAACUUGGUCACCCGUCAAUCCAUAAUGAUUCUUGGAUUGAUCUUGACCAUGGUCAUCCGACAAUCCACCAUGAAUCUUGAUGCACUGGACCAUGAUGCCUAAUCGUCUGGAAGAUCAUAGUCUUCAAGUGUUACAAGUCUUCAGUUCUCUCAAAACAGAACGACUUCGCUAACGCUCAAACAAUAUGGCUCUAGGUGUUUGUGUUUAUCCUCGUAGGAUAGUUCUCUCUCUCAAUGUCUUUGAGGUGGGUUGCUCCAAAACAACAACACCAUAUCUAACUCUAAGCAGCCGCCAACUUAUGCUGGAGGGUGGGCUAUUUAUAGCCAACAUGCAACCCUACAUGUUAUGACCAAAAUGACCUUGGGUCAAUGGCCAACCGACACGUGUUCCAACGGUCGGAUUUCAAAAACACACGUGGCAACAUUACUUGGACUACAAGUAAUGCUGACUCAACCAAAUAUGGAAGGGAUUUCCUCUCGUUGUUUUUGAUCGAAGACAUAGGUAAUUGUGGGUUGAGCAUUAUGUCAGCAUCUGACUUCGAUCAUAUCGACCCCACUUAAUAGUAUGGUGGUUCCUAUGACUUAGGAAAGAAGAAACAAAGAAAAAAAAAGACUUUGUCUUCGCGUUUCAUUAUCUUCAAGAGAUUUUCUUCGCAUACCACCAAUGGCUUCGGCCAUCAUCAAUAUCUUCAGACAUUUUUGCGGGUCGUCUUCAAUGGUUAAACUGAAUCUCCAGGGACUUCUAUCUGUGUUAACCUAUGAAGUCUCAUAGACACAUUAGUCCCUCAACCACGUUUGUCUUCAAUACUCCAAAACCAACAAGGGGUGGCACUAGAUGCACUUACAGUCUCCCCCUUUUUGGUGACUGAUGACAAACUGGUUGAAGUUUUCAAUGGGGAUAAAAAUGUGUGAGGGUAAACACUUAGAGAUUAUGAUUGCAAGAUAUAGAGAGCAACCCCUGAAGAUGUGCUUAUGAAGAUUUUGCUUUGAAUGCAAAGGCACAUGGGAUGUUGUAGUUAGUGGAGAUAUCCCCCUAUAUCUUGGAAUCCAAUCACUAUGCAUUUUAAAGGUUUCAUGAAGAUAAUGAAAUGCAUAAUGAAAAAUGGGUGUUUGCUGAAUGACUUCGGACGGAUAUGAUAAGAUAUGGAAUAGCGCUAAAGUUAUGAUAAACAAAGAAUGUGCGCACGUCCAUCAGGACUUAAGUUUUACAACCCAAAAGAGCAAAUGUUGAGAACAAGAGUUGUAAACGUAACAAAAUAGUAGCACUCAACCCAUAAAGACCUGUUCAAAUACUAUUAAUCCAAUGUUUCUCCCCCUUUGUCAUCGAAUGACCAAAAAGGGCAAAGACAUUGGGCACUACUCAUCCCCGACUUGUGAAGAUGUUGGUGCAGCAGGGUCAGUGGAGGUUGGUGCACACUGGCUUGGUGCAGUGCCGAGGCGAUCCAUUGUUGUAGCCGGAGAAGUGACAUCAACAGUUUCAUCAUUGGCAAUAUUGGCAUGAAUGAAUGGUGCGGAACAAGAGUAGCCACUGUCUUUGAGAGAUGGGAUCUUGCCCCAUUUUUUCGUACAAGGAGGAGGGGCACCAAAUUCGAAGUGUUUGUCAAAGCCAUCCUCACGAAGAUAUUCCUCUGGAGCCAAGAGAGUCAAUGUCUUUGAAGAACGCGUGCAAGUUUCAUGUGAAACAAAGGAAUUCUUGGUGGAGAGGUUGCAGAUGCAAUUGAUAUGUGUUACCAGAGAACCCAUUUGUCUUUGCAUCUAAUCAUGGUGACAGUCUUGUUUUUGUAUGAGAGAAAAAAGAAGCUCUCGAUUAGUCAUAGCACGUUACCUUCUAGGUUGGGGUUGUUGUGGCAGAGUGCUUGCAGUGGCUUCAGUUGUAGUGGCACUUGGCUGUGGUCGUUGAAUGGAGCCAAUAAGCCUUGCCCGAGAUGGAUUAGAUGGUAUGAGAAGCCCUUCAACAUCAGUAGUGCCACUAGUCCCUUCAAGGAUGGGAUUCUUGCCCUUCGAUGGAUAAAUAUCUUCGUGUUUGACUUCCACUUCCGGAAGAUAAAUUCCAUGAUUGUGAUUAGAGGGUAGAAACCUUGUAUUUGAUCGACACUUAAAGAAACGCAUGAUCCAUGGUGCAUAGAUCUUGAGUUCAAAGAGAUUGAUGCUAUUGGCAGCCAGGGUUAUCAAAAAUAAAUGUGAAAGAUUGAAUCUAAUGCCAUGACGACAUUGUAGAUCAAAGUAUUCAAUGCCCUUCCAACUUGCUUGAAGAAUAAUACCCUUCUAUGGCCAUAUGGUGUGACGAAGAAUACGGUAGAUAGUCUUCGGCAGAUAUUGAAGAUCAUCAAUAAAAAUGUUGUGGGAAAAUCAGCAUCUAGGGCCAAAGGCUUCAUUAGUGUCAACAUAUCAGUCAUGUUGGGCUCACACACUUGAAAGAUGCUUCUAGUGGGUUAUUCAUAGGCAACAAAUUUUGGAUCAAGAUCUUCGCGUGAUGCAACAAGUGGAGUGGUGGCAAAGAAUUCCAUAGAAGGAGUUCACGGAUCAUGAAAUCCAUAGCUCAUGUCUUCAGAUCUCAUCCAUAGCCAAAGAUGUGGGGAGUUGCAUAAAAUAGAAGAAUCAAUUCUUCGUUCCAGUCUUCAUGGUCAACAACAAAUGGCAACAAUCCAACAUCUCUAAGGCAAUCAAGGGCUUGGUCAAAGCAAGGAAGACCACUCCUGCCUUCCAUGCUAAGAUGUUUGUGGGGGGAAAAUCAUGUUCUAGCCAUAUAGUACACAUGUAUAGUAGGUGUAACACCCAAAAUGAGGUACUAUACUCAUCCGGUCUCGAGGGCUUUGAUAGGGAUAGAAGCACAUCUCUUCGUUUCGGAAGAAUGGAUAUCAUGAGAAGUACAUCUAAAGAGGAGAUGAGUAUAUGGAAUUGGCUUACACUCGCCACAAGCUAAAUCAUGAUAAUCUCAAUAUAAUCAUCCAUUGCAAUCAUCAUACAUAAAAGCAAGGUACGACUACGGGCGAAAUCGAACGAUAAAAGCAACAUCCAUCCUUGCUAGUCCCAGGCUGCCGUCCUGAAACCCAUCCUUUAAUCGAUGAAGAAGAGGAAGAAGAAAUCCAAAUCAAACAAGCAUCGCUCUCAUGUCAAAGCAUCGUAUUACCUAUACCUGCAACUAUUGUAGUAGUAAUAUGUGAGCCACGGGGACUCAACAAUCUCAUUUCCAAGGGUAUCAACACUAGCAAAGCUUAAUGGGUGAGGCAUGGUUAAGUGGUGAGGCUGCAGCAAGCACUAAGCAUUCAUUCUAGUGGCUAACUUACUAGUACAAGAAUAAGAAGAGUCAUCUACGCAUAAAUGGACAUGAACUAGAAAUGACCCUGAACACCUACUUGCGAGUCAAACAUCACCCCACUGUGUUCCCUUCUUGGUUCAAACCUCACAAGAAGAGACGGUCACGGCUACACACACGGUUGGUGCAUUUUAAUUGAGUUUACUUCAAGUUUGAUAUGACCAAGUGUUAAACAAAUUUCCAAGUUGCCACAUAACCGCGAGCACGACUCUCACAGAGAUGUAAUCCUGUAGGGGUGCUCCAACUCAUCCAUCACAAACUAGCCACAAGCUGCACUGGAAAAACUGAACCUCGAGAUAGCCCAAGGUAUCCUCGAAGUCAGAGUGCACAAGACAUUCGAGAAAGGUAAAACAAAUCCAGCAAGGCUGCCCAGCAAGCCGACAAUCCCGAUAGGGGCCGCAUAUCUCGUUCUUAGGAGAUGACCAGAUGAGCAAGAUGUCUGGUUGGCUGAAAUCCCGGGUGACAACGGGGCGCUGGACAUCGCCUGUUUUGGGCCAGCACCAUCAACAUUGGCCCACCCUGUAUUAUGUUGAAUUAAUCUGCAGGUAAUGCUAACUCCCUAUGCAUUAAUAACGGUGUUCCGUAUUAUUAUGUUGAGCAAAGAUAGUACAAAUAUUGGGCCUUUCCAGACGAGUUUUAUCCCAAAACAAAAAUCAAGGGGUCCCCAUAACUACCCCAAGCAUGUUAGUAGCGCUCAAUAUGGAACAUAACACCGGUACACAAGUAACUAGGGCGACAAAGGUGGAACAAAACACCGAGCAAAAGGCCAAUCCUUCCACCUUUUACCAAGUAUAUAUGUGUAUUAAAUUAAAUAGAAAUAAUAUUGUGAUAUUUCAAAGAUAUCCAUGUUGUCACAUGGAAACAACGUGCACCUGCAAUUAAGAAUGCUAUAAGAUGGGUUGAGCAAGCGAUAACUAAAUGGCAUAAGGUGAAGAUGAAAUUAAGCAAUUUAAAUGAAUAAGGAGAGCAUACACAUAACAAAUCAUACCUCUCCAUAUUAAGGGAAAUGCUGUUAAUGUUGUUUUAACUAAACAAUCAUUUUAAAUGUUGUUAAACAUGAAAAAAGGUGAAGCAUAAACAACUACAUCAUCUAGCCAUUUUAAAUGAGGUCGGAAGCAACAUAUAGCAUAUCUGAAGCGACCCCAUAUGAAAAUUACAAAUUUGGUCCACAUAUAUUCUAAACAUAUUACAUUAUUUAAAUAGAAAACUAAAGCGCACCAUGUUAUUCUACACAUUUUUCUAGUCAAGUUACAUAUGUGAAACAUUUUAAUUGGAGCUAUGGUUAUCUAGUUAUGAAAUAAAUUAUUUUAACAUCGAAGUUAUGCAAAUUAAUGCAAACAACAAGUUUAAACAUUUUAAUCAUGCGAGAAAGUUGGAAACUAUUAAUCUAGACAAAAUUCUGAACAUUUUACAUAUAUAAAAUUGUUACAUGCGAUGCACGGUUUGAGAGUUUUUAUAUGCAUGAAGUUCGAGGGGUUCUAAGCAAAUCUGCAAUUUCCUGGUUUAUUGGAGAAAUUGCACGAGCUGAAAAAAACAAUAUGGGCUGAAUGUGGAACAGAAUCUGCACAAAAUUGAAAGUGCGUUAUAUCGCAUAGAGGGGGGUGAAUAGGCGAUUCUUAUAAAUUCAUCAGUGAGGAAUUUCUACUUGAAGAAAUUGCUAAGAGACGAACUACUUCCAGCGGAAUAAGUACUCAGAUGUAAGCAUGGAAAGGUAUAAGCAUAGUCAUCAUAACAAAAUGAAAAAUACACAGAGUGUGAGUAGCAUGAAACAGGGUAAGCAUGUGAAGAACAAAGUGAAUGAAGAAUUUGAGAUGAGAAAAUAGAGGAAGUCUUUAGACAAAGUCUUCAAACAGUACCAAUCAAUCACAUCAACAAGUAUAGGAGGAAAUGAAAGAGUUGAGGAAAUAGAAGUAGGAGCUCAAUGAACACAAUGAUUUGAUGACCCAGUUCCAACUGUUGUGAUAGACGUACGUCUAUUUUGGAGCUGAUUGGUAUUUAAACCAAAGGACACAGGUCCUAGGACACAAAAUCCUUACCGUAUUCUCCUUGAGCUAAGGUCAUACAGACCUCAUCCAACACUCCUGGUAAGUCUUCACGACAGACUUCCAAAACCUCAGAAACUUGGUCACCCGGCAAUCCACAAUUUAUUGAUGGAUGCUCUAGCCCAUUUGAUGCCUAACCGUCUCAAAGAUACAUAGUCUUCAAAGGCAACAAGCAUCGGCUCCACACAGGAAAAUCUCUUCAUUGAUGCUCAAUCACUUUGGGUUUUUGGUUUUUGUUGUUUUCCUCACUGAUGAUUUUCUCUCAAAGUCAUAGGAUGAUGUGACGCUCCCAAAUGACAAGUGUCAAGUUCUCUCUCGGAGCAUCCAACCAUCUAGUGGUUGUAGGGGGCGCCUAUUUAUAGCGAGGGUGCAACCCGACAUGAUAUGACAUAAAUGCCCCCAAUGAUAUGACCAUUAUGUGGAUGAGGUUUUGGGGACAACUUGCGCACAACAAACAAUGGUCGAGAUUUCAAACUAUGAAAUACCUCAGUUCUAUCAUGUUCCUCACUUGUAGGCAGUUCGCACUAGCGAAAUCCUAACUCUCAGUGAGAGCUCAGAGACGAGAAGAACCUCGUCUCUGUCACUGAAAAAUUUGACUGAACCGCAAGAUAUUUCCAAAGGCUUCACCCGAAGAAUUGGUUAUGUGUAGCCUUUGAGAUAAGUUGUUGGGGAACGUUGCAUGGGAAACAAAAAUUUUCUUACGCACAUGAAGACCUAUGAUGGUGAUGAUCAUCUAACAGAGGGAGGUAGGAUCUACAUACCCUUGUAGAUCGCUAAGCGGGAAGCGUUAAGAACCGCGGUUGAUGUAGUGGAAUGUCUUCACGAUCCAAAUUGCCGCCGUCCCAUGAUCCGUCCCGAACUAGCACCGAACGAACGACACCUCCGCGUUCAACACACAUACAACUCGAUGACGAUCUCCCCCAUCUUGAUCCAGCAAGAGAGACGGGGAAGUAGAUGAGUUCUUUGACAGCGUGACGACGCGUCGGUGAUGGUGGUGAUCUAUUCCUGUAGGGCUUUGCCUAAGCACCGCAGAAAUCCGAUCUAGAGGAAGAACUACAAACUAGAGGAGAGGGUUGCAUGUGGCUGAAAAUUGUGUCUCAAAAACCCUAAAACCUCUAGUAUAUAUAGGAGGAAGGAGGGGCUAGCCUUGAGCACCAAGGGAACCUCCCUUGGGCUCGGCCGAACCAGGAGAAGAGGAGUCCUCCUCCAAUCCUACUUGGAGUAGGAAUCCUCCCCAAGUUGUCCACCUCUUUUCAUUUUCCCACUUUUUACCUCAUGGGCUUUCUUUGGUUGACUAGUCAGCCCACUAAGAGAAAUUGCGCCACCAUCAAAUCCACGUGGUCCUCUUGGGGAGUGGUGGGCCCACCUGGUGGGCCCACAAUACCCAUUCGUCACUCCCGGUACACUGUCGGCAAUGCCCGAAAUCGUUCCGGAAUCAAAUGCCAACUUCCUAUAUAUCAAUCUUCGUUUCCGGACCAUUCUGGAACUCCUCGUGACAUGUGGGAUCUCAUCCGGGACUCCGAACAAAACUUCGGUCACCAGAACCUAUAACUCAACUAUACCAAAACGUCACUCAACCUUAAGUGUGCACACCGUGCGGGUUCGAGAACUAAGCAGACAUGACGUGAGACACUCUCCGGUCAAUAUCCAAUAUCUGGACCUGGAUGUCAAUAUUGGAUCCUACAUAAUUUAUGAAGAUCUUAUCGGUUGANNNNNNNNNNNNNNNNNNNNNNNNNNNNNNNNNNNNNNNNNNNNNNNNNNNNNNNNNNNNNNNNNNNNNNNNNNNNNNNNNNNNNNNNNNNNNNNNNNNNNNNNNNNNNNNNNNNNNNNNNNNNNNNNNNNNNNNNNNNNNNNNNNNNNNNNNNNNNNNNNNNNNNNNNNNNNNNNNNNNNNNNNNNNNNNNNNNNNNNNNNNNNNNNNNNNNNNNNNNNNNNNNNNNNNNNNNNNNNNNNNNNNNNNNNNNNUAUCGGUUGAACCUCUAUGUCAAGGAUUCAUAUAAUCCCGUAUACCAUUCCCUUUGUCCUUCAGUAUGUUACUUGCCCGAGAUUCGAUCAUUCACAUCUCCAUACCUAUUUCAAUCUCGUUACUAGCAAGUCUCUUUACUCGUUCCGUAAUAAAAGAUCCCGUGACUAACUCUUUCGUCACAUUGCUUGCAAGGCUUGUAUGUGAUGUUGUAUUACUGAGUGGGCCCCGAGAUACCUCUCCGUCACACGGAGUGACAAAUCCCAGUCUUGAUCCAUGCUAACUCAAUGGACACCUUCGGAGAUGCCUGUAGAGCACCUUUAUAGUCACCUAGUAACGUUGUGACGUUUGAUGCACACAAGGCAUUCUUCCGGUGUUAGUGAGUUACAUGAUCUCAUGGUCAUAGGAAUGAAUACUUGACAUGCAGAAAACAAUAGCAACAAAAUGACACGGUCAUAUGCUACGUUCAUAGAUUGGGUCUUGUCCAUCACAUCAUUCUCCUAAUGAUGUGAUCCCGUCAUCAAGUGACAACACUUGUCUAUGGCUAGAAAACCUUAACCAUCCUUGAUCAAUAGGCUAGUCAAUUAGAGACUCACUAGGGACACAAUUUUGUUUAUAUAUCCACACAUGCAUUUAUGUUUCCAUUCAAUACAAUUAUAGCAUGGAUAAUAAACGAUUAUCUUGAAACAGGAAAUAUAAUAUUAACUAUUUUAUUAUUGCCUCUAGGGCAUAUUUCCAACAGUCUCCCACUUGCACUAGAGUCAAUAAUCUAGUCUCACAUCUUCAUGUGAUUUACAAUGUAAUGAAUCUAACACCCAUACAGUUUUGGUGUUGUUCAUGCUUUACUCGUGGUAGAGGUUUAGUCAGCGGAUGUGCAAAAUUCAGAUCAGUGUGCACUUUGCAAAUAUUUAUGUCUUCCUCCUUGAUGUAAUCGCAGAUGGUGUUGAAGCGUCGUUUUAUGUGUCUGGUCCUCUUGUGAAACCUUGGUUCCUUGGCUAGAGCAAUGGCACCAGUGUUGUCACAUAAAAGAUUGAUUGGAUCCAGUGCACUUGGCACUACUCCAAGAUCUGACAUGAACUGCUUCAUCCAGACACCCUCCUUGGCCGCCUCUGAGGUAGCUAUGUACUCCACUUCGCAUGUAGAAUCAGCUACGACACUUUGCUUGGAACUGCACCAGCUUACCGCACCCCCAUUAAGAAGAAAUACUACCGAUUUGCGACUUAGAGUCAUCCGGAACAGUGUCAAAGCUUGCAUCGACGUAACCCUUUAUGACGAGCUGUUCGUCACCCCCAUGAACGAGAACCAUUUCCUUAGACCUUUUCAGGCACUUGAGAAGAUUCUUGACCGCCGCCGAGUGUUCCACUCCUGGAUCACUUUGAAACCUGCCUGCCAUACUUAUGGCCAGGCUGACAUACGGUCUUGUGCAUAACAUUGCAUACAUGAUAGACCCUAUGGCUGAAGCAUAGGGGACGACACUCAUCUUUUGUCUAUCUUCUGCAGUUACUGGACAUUAAGUCUUACUCAACUUUAUACCUUGUAACACAGGCAAGAACCCCUUCUUGGAUUGUUCCAUCUUGAAAUUCUUCAAAACUUUAUAAAGGUAUGUGCUUUGUGAAAGAGCUAUUGGGCGCCUCGACCUAUCUCUAUAGAUCUUUAUGCCCAAUAUGUAAGCAGCUUCUCCUCAGUCUUUCAUUGAAAAACUUUUAUUCAAGUAAUCCUUUACGCUUUCCAAAAACUCCACAUUGUUUCCAAUCAACAAUAUGUCAUCCACAUAUAAUAUUAGAAACGCUAUAGAUCUCCCACUCACUUUCUUGUAAAUCAAAGCUUCUUCAAAAACUUGUAUAAAGUCAAACGCCUUGAUCACCUCAUCAAAGCGCUGAUUCCAACUCCGAGAUGUUUGCACCAGUCCAUAAAAUGGAUCGCUGGAGCUUGCACACCUUGUCAACAUUUUCUGGAUAGACAAAACCUUCGGACUAUAUCAUAUACAACUCUUCCUUAAGAAACCUAUUAAGGAACGCCAUUUGGACAUCCAUCUGCGAGAUUUCAUAAUCGAAAAAUGCAGCUAUUGCUAACAUGAUUCAGACGGACUUAAGCAUCGCUACGGGUGAGAAUGUCUCAUCGUAGUCAACUCCUUGAACUUGUGAAAAACCCUUCGCCACAAGUCGAGCUUUAUAAACGGUCACAUUACCGUCCGCGUUCGUCUUCUUCUUAAAGAUCCAUUUGUUCUGAAUAGCCUUGCGACCUUGAGGUAAUACUUCCAAAGUCCACACUUUGUUUUCAUACAUUGAUCCUAUCUCGGAUUUCAUGGCUUCUAACCAUUUGUUGGAAUUUGGGCCCACCAUUACUUCUCCAUAACUCUCAGCUCAUUGUUAUCUAACAACAUGAUAGACAAGACAUGUUUCCUGUACCACUCGGGAGCAGUACGUGCUCUUGUCGACCUGCGAGGUCCUGCCCUGCGCCACCAUCUUGUUAAAGCAGAGGUUCUGUAACCUCAUCAAGUUCUAUCUUCCUCCCACUCAAUUAUUUCAAGAGAAACACUUUAUCAAGAAAAGCUCCGUUCUUAGCGACAAACACUUUGCCCUCAGAUCUGAGAUAGAAGGUAUACCCAACUGUCUCUUUUGGGUAACCUAUGAAGACGCACUUUUCCGCUUUGGGUUCUAGCUUUUCAGGCUGAAGCUUUUUGACAUAAGCAUCGCAUCCCCAAACUUUAAGAAACGAGAACUUUGGCUUCUUGCCAUACCGUAGCUCAUAUGGUGUCGUCUCAACGGAUUUUGAUGGUGCCCUAUUUAAAAUGAAUGCAGCUCUCUCUAAUGCAUAGCCCCAAAACAAUAAUGACAAAUCGGUUAGAGACAUCAUAUAUCGUACCAUAUCUAACAAAGUACAAUUACGACGUUCGGACACACCAUUACGUUGUGGUGUUCCAGGCGGUGUCAAUUGUGAAACAAUUCCACAUUGUCUUAAGUGAGCACCAAACUCGUAACUUAGAUACUCUCCUCCUCGAUCAAAUCGUAGGAACUUGAUCUUCUUGCUAUGAUGAUUUUCAACUUCACUCUGAAAUUUCAUAAACUUUUCAAACGUUUCAGACUUGUGCUUCAUCAAGUAGAUAUAGCCAUACCUACUCAAAUCGUCAUUGAAGGUGAGAAAAUAACGAUAUCUAUCGCGCGCCUCUAUGCUCAUUGGUCCGCACACAUCAGUAUGUAUGAUCUCCAAUAAGUCACUUGCACGCUCCAUUGUUCCAGAGAACAGAGUCUUACUCAUCUUGCCCAUGAGGCAUGGUUCGCAUGUGUCAAGUGAUUCAAAAUCAAGUGACUCCAAAAGUCCAUCAUCAUGGAGUUUCUUCAUGCGCUUAACACCAAUAUGACCUAAGCGGCAGUGCCACAAGAAAGUGGCGUUAUCAUUGUUAACUCUACAUCUUUUGGUCUCAAUGUUAUGGAUAUAAGUGUCAUCACAAUCGAGAUCCAAUAUGAACAAACCCCUCACAUUGGGUGCAUGACCAUAAGAGAUAUUACUCAUAUAAAUAGAACAACCAUUAUUCUUAGACUUAAAUGAGUAACCGUCUCGCAAUAAACAAGAUCCAGAUAUAAUGUUCAUGCUUAAGGCAUGCACUAAAUAACAAUUAUUUAAGUUCAUAACUAAUCCCGAUGGUAACUGAAGUGAGACCGUGUCGAUGGCGAUCGCAUCAACCUUGGAACCAUUUCCCACGCGCAUCGUCACUUCAUCGUUCGCCAGCCUUCGCUUAUUCCGCAGUUCUUGUUUCGAGUUACAAAUGUAAGCAACAGAACCGGUAUCAAAUACCCAGACACUACUAAGAGAGUUGAUGAGGUACACAUCAAUAACAUGUAUAUCAUAUAUACCUUGUUUGGCGUUGACCGCCUUCUUAUCGACGAGAUACUUGGGGUAGUUGCACUUCUAGUGACCAGUCCCCUUGCAACAAUAGCACUCAGUUUCCGUCUUAGGCCCAGCCUUGGGUUUCUUCAUCGGAGGGGCAACAGUUUUUGCACUCUUCUUGGAGUUACCCUUCUUGCCUUUGCCGUUCUUCUUGAAACUAGUGGUGUUAUUCACCAUCAACACUUGAUGUUCUUUCUGGAUUUCUGACUCAGCAACUUUCAUCAUCGCAAAUAACUCGCUGGGUGACUUAUUCAUCCCUUGGAUGUUAUAGUUCAACAUGAAGCUCUUGUAGCUAGGUGGCAGUGAUUGAAGAAUUCUGUCAGUGAUAGCUUCUUGCGGGAGAGCGAUCCCCAGCUCAGCUAGAUGGUUUGAGUACCCAGACAUUUUGAGCACAUGUUCACUGACAGACAAAUUCUCCUCCAUUUUGCAAGCAUAGAAUUUAUUGGAGGUCUCAUACCUCUCGAUCCAGGCAUUCUUCUCAAAGAUAAAGUUCAACUCCUGGAACAUCUCAUAUGCUCCAUGACAUUCAAAACAUCGUUGAAGUCCCGGUUCUAAGCCAUACAAAACAACACAUUGAACUAGUGAGUAGUCAUCCUUACGAGCUUGCCAAACAUUCAAAACAUCUUGGUCAGCCAUAGCGUGUGGUUCACCUCCUAGCGCUGCAUCAAGGACAUAAUUCUUUUGCGUAGCUUGAAGUAUAAGCCUCAAAUUUCGAACCCCCUCUACAAAUUUGCUACCAUCAUCUUCCAGCUUAGCUUUCUCUAGGAACGUAUUGAAAUUCAGGGUUGCUACUACGCGAGCAAUUGAUCUACAACAUAAUUUUUUGCAAAGAUUACUUAUACUAUGUUCAAGACAAUUGAGUUUAGCUAAUCAUAUUAAUUAUAAAUUCCCACUCAAAUAGACAUCCCUCUAGUUAUUCGAGUGUCGCAUGAUCCAAAUUCACUAGCUCAAGUCCGAUCAUCACGUGAGUUGAGUAUAGUUUCAGUGGUGAACAUCUCCAUGUUGAUCAUAUCUACUAUAUGAUUCAUGCUCGACCUUUCGGUCUCUUGUGUUCCGAGGCCAUGUCUGUACGUGCUAGGCUCGUCAAGUUUAACCCGAGUGUUCCGCGUGCGCAACUGUUUUGCACCUGUUGUAUGUGAACGUUGAGUCUAUCACACCCGAUCAUCAUGUGGUGUCUCGAAACGACGAACUGUCGCAACGGUGCAUAGUCGGGGAGAACACAUUUUUAUCUUGAAAUUUUGUGAGGGAUCACCUUAUAAUGCUACUGUCGUCCUAAGCAAAAUAAGGUGCAUAAAAGGAUUAACAUCACAUGCAAUUCAUAAGUGUCAUGAUAUGGCCAUGAUCUUGUGCUUCUUGACCUGCAUCACCAAAGCACCGACAUGAUUAUCAUUGUCACCGGCACCAUAGAAUGAUCUCCAUCAUCAUGAUCUCCAUCGUUGUGCCGCCAUCGAGGUUGUCAUGCUAUCUAUGCUAUUACUACUAAAGCUACUACCUAGCAAUAUAGUAAACACAUCUGCAAGCACAAACGUUAGUUUAAAGACAACCCUAUGGCUCCUGCCGGUUGCCGUACCAUCGACGCGCAAGUCGAUAUUUAACUAUUACAACAUGAUCAUCUCAUACAUCCAAUAUAUCACAUCAUGUCUUUGGCCCUAUCACAUCACAUGCAUAUCCUGCAAAAACUAGUUAGAUGCCCUCUAAUUUGUUGUUGCAUGUUUUACGUGGCUGCUAUGGGUAUCUAGUAUGAUCGCAUCUUACUUACGCAAAGCCACAACGAUGAUAUCCAAAUUGCUAUUUAACCUUCUCCAAGGACCGCCUCGAUCAAAUCCGAUUCAACUAAAGUUGAAGAAACAGACACCCGCCGGUCAUCUUUAUGCAACAAGUUGCAUGUUAGUCGAUGAAACCGGUCUCUAGUAAGUGUACGAGUAAGGUUGGUCCAGGCCAUUUCAAUCCAACAAUACUACCGAAUCAAGAAAAGACUAUGGAGGGCAGCAAAUCGAACAUCAACGCCCACAAUUUUUUUUGUGUUCUACUCGAGAUUUCAUCUAUGAGUGAACCUAGCUCAUGAUGCCACUAUUGGGGAACGUUGCAUGGGAAACAAAAAUUUUCCUACGCACACGAAGACCUAUCAUGGUGACGAUCAUCUAUGAGAGGGCGAUCGGAUCUACGUACCCUUGUAGAUCGCUAAGCGGGAAGCGUUAAGAAACGUGGUUGAUGUAGUGGAACGUCUUUGCGAUCCAAAUCGCCUCCGUCCCAUGGUCCGUCCCGAUCUAGCACCGAACGGACGACACCUCCGCGUUCAGCACACGUACAGCUCGAUGACGAUCUCGGCCUUCUUGAUCCUGCAAGAGAGAUGGGGAAGUAGAUGAGUUCUCCCACAGUGUGACGACGCGCCGGUGAUGGUGGUGAUCUAUUCCUGCAGGGCUUCACCUAAGCACCGCAGAAAUCCGAUCUAGAGGAAGGACUACAAACUAGAGGAGAGGGUUGCACGUGGCUGAAAAUUGUGUCCCAAAAACCCUAAAACCUCUAGUAUAUAUAGGAGGAAGGAGGAUCUGACCUUGAGCACCAAGGGAACCUCCCUUGGGCUCAGCCGAACCAGGAGAGGAGGAGUCCUCCAAUCCUAUUUGGAGUAGGACUCCUCCCCAAGUUGUCCACUUCUUUUGUUUUUUCCACUUUUUACCUCAUGGGCUUUCUUUGGUUGACUAGUCAUCCCACUAAGAGCUAUUGCGCCACCAUAAAGUCCACGUGGCCCUCUUGGGCAAUGGUGGGCCAACCUAGUGGGCCCCCAGUACCCAUUCGUCACUCCCGGUACACUGCCGGCAAUGCCCGAAAUCCUUUCGGAAUCCAAAUACCAACUUCCUAUAUCAAUCUUCAUUUCCGGACCAUUCCGGAACUCCUCGUGAUGUCCGAGAUCACAUUCGGGACUUCGAACAAAACUUCAGUCACCACCACCUAUAACUCAACUAUACCGAAAUGUUACCGAACCUUAAGUGUGCACACUCUGCGGGUUCGAGAACUAUGCAGACAUGACUUGACACACUCUUUGGUCAAUAUCCAAUAGCGGGACUUGGAUGUCCAUAUUGGAUCCUACAUAUUCUACGAAGAUCUUAUCGGUUGAACCUCUAUGUCAAGGAUUCAUAUAAUCCCGUAUACCAAUUCCUUUGUCCUUCGGUAUGUUACUUGCCCGAGAUUCGAUCGUCCGCCUCUCCAUACCUAUUUCAAUCUCGUUACUGGCAAGUCUCUUUACUCGUUCCGUGAUGUUGUGUUACCGAGUGGGCCCCGAGAUACCUCUCCAUCACAUGGAGUGACAAUCCAAGUCUUGAUCCAUGCUAACUCAAUGGACACCUUCGGAGAUGCCUGUAGAGCACCUUUAUAGUCACCCAGUAACGUUUCAACAUUUGAUGCACACAAGGCAUUCUUGCGGUGUUCAGUGAGUUACAUGAUCUCAUGGUCAUAGGAAUGAAUACUUGACAUGCAGAAAACAAUAGCAACAAAAUGACAUGAUCAUAUGCUAUGUUCAUAGUUUGGGUCUUGUCCAUCACAUCAUUCUCCUAAUGACGUGAUCCCGUCAUCAGGUGACAACACUUGUCUAUGGCUAGGAAACCUUAACCAUCCUUGAUCAAUUGGCUAGUCAACUAGAGACUCACUAGGGACACAAUUUUGUCUAUAUAUCCACACAUGCAUUUAUGUUUCCAUUCAAUACAGUUAUAGCAUGGAUAAUAAAUGAUUAUCUUGAAAUAGGAAAUAUAAUAAUAAUUAUUUUAUUAUUGCCUCUAGGGCAUAUUUUCCAACAUAAGCAUCACUUGGAAAUUUGUCCUUAGUAUUACCUCAACCCUCUUUAAUAGUGCAAUAUUCCUAUUACUCAAAAUAAAGGAAACGUAACUAGUAAAACAAAAGUCUUCAUGCUUCAUAGUCUUUGCAUUAAUAUCUUCAAGGAUGCACCAAUUUCCUCACUUUUAGAGUCUUUAGGAAAAUAUUGAAGACUCCAGAUGAAGACAUUAAUUUUUAGGGGUCGACAUUCUUCAAAUAUAUCAAAUGCCUUAGUGACUUAUAGAGCUUGUGUACACUCAUACACAUAUUAGUCCCUUAACUUAUAAGUCUUCAAUACACCAAAAUCACUAAGGGGCACUAUAUGCACUUACAAUCUCCCCCCUUUUGGUGAUUGAUGACAAAUAAUUAAGUUUUCGACGGGGAUAAACAUAUGAAGUGUAAGUACCGACUUUGAGGAAUUUGAUUGCAAGAUAUAGAGAAACUCCCCCUAAAGAUGUGCAUAUUUGAGGAUUUUGCUUUGGACUGCAAUUGCACAUUGUAAGUUAAUAUCAUGAAGAUCUCCCCUAUAUCUUAUAAUCCAUACACACAAUUAACAUAUAUCAUGAGGAAAUUGAAAUGCAUGAUGGGAAGUGGUGUCUGACAAAAUUCGGCAUGCGUGCAUUAAUCAACAUGAGGAACAAGCAUGCAAUAAAAGCAGUUCAAAAGUGUCACACCACCACCGAACAUAAGUUUACAACUCAUAAAACCAAACACCUUAGAAAAAUGAGAGUUGCAACAUAAGGAAACAUCCCAUAUAGAUAGACCCACUUGAAGACUAACUCAAAUUUCUCCCCCUUUGUCAUCAAGUGACAAAAAAGGGAUGAAAUUGAGAACUAACACCCCUGAAAAAUAUCAUCUUGAUGGUGGUGGUGCAACACCAGUGUUGUCGGGGUCUUUUGUCGAUGAAGGGCCUGCAACAGUGUCAUCAAGUUCCUCAGAUUCAUCCUUGAGCAUGAUGAAGAAAAUGAGCUUGUUACCAGCUAAGGAACUUGAAAUUUCUUGAAUAUCUUCUUUGGUGGAUAUGACCAGUCAAAGUUCUGCUGAAAUUCUAUCUCUGCAAGUUCUUCGAGGAGUCUUGAGGUGAGACAGAAUGGCCCAUGUGCGAUCGAAUAUUUCAUGUAGAUAUUAGUGAUUAUUCCUCAGAGAGUUAUGCAUGAUAGUCAUGUCACAAAGAAUUGCACGAAACUAACGUUUCACCCACUUGUGGUUGUGAUCGACCUUGUGAUGAACACUUAGAAGAAGCUCACAAUUGGUCAUCACUCGUGGCACUUUCUUGAGUACGUUGCGGUGAGGUUUUUGCUACAAAAUCUUGAGAUGUCAUGUCAUCAUUGGUGGAGUAAGAAGCAUCUUGAGGAAAUUGCCCAUCAAAAGGGCGUGAUCCUUCAUCAAUGACAGCUUUGCCAUUUCCUUCCAUUGAGGAAAAUGUGUUCUUGAUGACUUCGAUUGGGGGCAGAAAGCUAAAAUGGUUUUGAAAAUCCGCUUGAUAAGGUAUUGAGGAUCUUUCCCCGAUGAAUUUCAUGAUCCAGGAAGCAUAUGGCUUCAGUUCAAACGACAAUAAAGCAAUGUUGGCUAGAGUCCUCGUUAAGAAAUCGUGAAGGUUGAUGGGAAUCCCAUGAAUAAUAUCGAACAACAAAUUCUUCAUGAUUCCAACCACGUCUUGGUCUUCAAAGUCAUGACCCUUGAUAAGACUAAGGGUUUUGGUCAAGAUGCGAUAUACCAUUCUGGGCAAUAAAGCAAAUCCUUCACUAGGAAGGUGGUUCUGGGAGCUUGGUGAGGUGCCAAGGGCUUCAUUAUUACCUGCAUCAGAUGAUUUGGCAAUUCAGGUUCAUCAUAGAUACAUCUUGCACCUUCUGAGGGUUGAUCGACUGGGAGAACAUGAAUCAAUUCAGUUCCUGGAGCAGUAUAGUGUGUGUCUUCAGUCAUCCAGUCAAGUAUCUAGGUGUUGAUAUUGUGUGCUUCACUAGAAAUGUGCAGAGUUGCAUAAAACUAAGGAAUUAGUUCUUCAUUCCAGUCACAAAUAUCAAUGCAGAAUGGCAAGAGUACAACUUCAUGAAGAACAUUGAGUACUGGGUAGAAGCACGGAAUGAACUCCAUAUCUGCAUGAGGAAUUUGACGGUGUUGGAAGAUUUUGUUCUUGUCAAAUAACAGAGUACCAUAGAAGUUAAUCUCGAUUGAAGUCGAGAACCUCUUGCACCUUAUCCUCGGAGAGUCAUAGGGAUUUUCACCUAUGAAGAAAUGAUGUUCAUCAUAGAAAUUCUCCUUGAGGAAUUUGGGUCACUUUGUGCCUUUGUAUGGCUGAACAGGAAUUGGCUGAAGAUUUGGCUUGUAUUGCCCUACAAGUGCUCUGGGCAUGAUAAAUGUUUCAGUUUGAGGAACUUGUGCCACAACGACUGCAGAUUGAGGAUUUUGAACGACAAGUUCUUGAUGAGCAGUCUGAGUGUUGAUUAUGUCAAUCUGUGGUUCUUCAACUUAUGGCAGAGGAAUUUGAGGAGCUGUUUCUUCAGCCAUGGUCUCUUGAGACUAAAGAAUUUGAAUUGCAAAUUCUUCAACCGCAAUGUGAGUGUGACUUUCUUUAGCAGUUUCUUUAGCUUGUGCAACUUGUAUUUCUUCAACCUGUGGCUAUCAAAGUUGUCAGAAACGUGACUCAAGUCUUAGAAUCUUACGAUCUUACGAUCCAAACUAGCCCCUCUGAUUCUACAAUUUUGCUCAUAGAAUCUAAGUUUCUACGAUCCUGAUAGUUAAGAUUCUACGAUUCACGAUCCUAGCAACGGAGCUCCGAUCCGAUUCAGAAUCGCUAUUCUGACAACUUUGGUGGCUAUGGUGACUGUGUUAUGAGCGGAAUCAUUUCAUGAGAUGAUGCAGCUAGAAUUUCUCCAACUGUUGUCUUGAGAGGAGUGGAUCGACCCUUAGACCCUAUAAGAGUUUGUUCAGUGUGGGUAGGUGACUCGGGAAUUUGACUCAGUUACGUGGGCAUUGGUGAAUUUGGGUGUGCAGCUUCCCAAUAUUCAUUGUUGAUCACUGGAGUAGUGCAACUAAUGUCCACAUGAUCUUCAAUUUCUUCAUCACCAACCUCUACUGUAGUGAAUUGAGGCUGGGGUGAUGAUACCUGAGGGGGUGAAGUGUUCACAUCCACCUCAAUUUCUUCAUCGAUCGGCUCUGAGGAAGCAAUAAAUUGAUUUUCUUCAUCUUCUGCAUCUGGGAUGACAUAGCCUUCACCAAAUAGUACCAUUUAGUAAGAGGGUAUAGAGGUGUUAGGCAUUGCAUCAAUUGGUUUACCCGAGGAAUUUGGCAAAAUCCUCAAUCGCUUGUCUUUUGAAGAUUCUAAAGUGGAUGAUGCUUUUCGCUUUCGUGCGGCUUCCUUUUUCGUAGCCUUGGUUUUCUUUACUUCUGAUGUAGAAGAAAUUAGCACUCUCUUCACCUUUAAAGAUUUUGCUGAUGGAGCAGAGGGUGAAGUUGAUUCGAGUUCUUCACGCAAGACUGAUGCAGUCAUCCUGACACGUCAAAUUUCUUCAGGCGCAUUAGUUUCUUCAGCUGGCCUCAUAGUUUCUUUAUGUGCAAGAGUGGAGUUUGCCGUGACAGUUUCUUCAGGAGGUGUGAUAUCUUCAGCAGUCCUGAUAAUUUCUUCACCCACUGGUAUUUCUUCAGUGGGCUGAGUAGUAGAACUAGCCUGAGCAGUUUGUGGUUGUGAUGGAAGUGCAGGCCUUGUGUUGUGGUCACUGAUGGCUCUCGUAGCCACAUUGUCAAACCUGACCUUAGAGCCUUUCCAAUCAGCAUAAUAUCUAUUGUAUUCUUCACCGAGAUUUUAAUCUUAGUUUAUGCAGAAAUGAGUUGGCCUGGAGUCAGGGAGAGAACAUUGGUCUUCAUAAAUUGUUCUUUCUUCCUCUGCUCCCUUCUGGCCAUUUUGUCCUUUUCAAACUUCCAUUUUUCUACGACAAUGAAAGCCGUCAACACUUGGCUUGGACCAGGUAGUAGUUUUAGAUCGUCAAUUGGGGUUUGAGGAUCUUUGUACCAGACAUCAAUGAAAUCCAACAUAGUUCUUCAGUCAAGCAUGAGAGGUAUUUGAGCGCCCUUUGCUUGGGCCAUGCUCCGUUGCUUGCUUCUGAUGGUUUCAGCAGGUUCUUCAUCAUUAGCUUCAUGAUCCUUAGAUGCUGAGGGAACAUUGAAGACAACCUUGUGAGGACUUGGUAUUUUGCGUCGUCUAGUUGUCAUCUUCUUCUUCAUGACUGUGGCACUAAAAGAAGUGAGAGCGGAGCCUAUUGCAGAUGUCCGAGAGGAAUUGUGAAUCCAAUGGUUCGCUGACACAUUGCAAGAUGCACUGGUGUUGAGGUCUUUGUGGUAGCAACUGAGGAAGUGGCCGCCACAGAAGGAGCUGGGUGAGGAAUUUUCUAUGAGGGAUUUGAACUUUAGGACUUUGUCUUGACACCAAAUUUCUUCACUAUAGCUUGUUUUGGAGCUGUUGCGCUGAUAGAUGCUUUAGCAGUAGAUGAGGUAGCGACAGUGGCAGCAACUGUAUCAAGGUUGAAUUUCCUCACUGCCUUUGCAGAAAUCUUGUACAGUUUGGCUUGGCACUUGUCCCACUCCUUGGGAUAUUCUUCACCACUUACAAUGCUAGUGGGAUCAACUACUUGGCCUUCAGCGAGUGGAGUUCUUGGGCAUGGAGGAUUCACUGCAAAUUUUUUCAUGUACUUUGGAGUAACAUAUUUGUAGUCCCUCAUCAGGAGUGUAGUAUUCAUCAUAUAUAUCCUCAAGGAUUCCGAAGGCAGUAUUGGUUUCUGCCUUCUUUCCUCCUUUCUGAGGUCUUUUCCCUUCAACCAUUUUCUUCACUUGUGGAAUAUGAAAUUUUGAUGAUUCUGAGGAAGUGUGCAAAUUUUCUUCAAGGAACACUUCAAAUGAAUUAAGUUGAUAAGAACCUAGAGAUUAAUGUGCAACCAUUUUGUACGUGUGAAUAGAGUGUAGGUGCGAAUAAUUUGAAGAGGUCAUUUGCUUUCUCAGAAAUUUUUCAAAAGUAUAUCAAGUUGAGGAAUUUGACCAGAUAGGUCUUGAAGAAUUCCGUUAAGUGUUCUUGACUUAGGUUCCAGAGUUUGCAGAUUCAAAAAUUUACUCAAUUGAGAAAUCUUUUGAAGAAAAUCAUGACUAAGAGAAACAAAACAAGGGAAAUUAAGUUGUUUAAGGUGUUUACACGAUUGAAUAAACACCUUUUGAAGAAUUUGUCAAAUCAUAAAGAUCAAAUAGUGCAGUAAAAUUAGAUUUUAAUUACCCUUAUCGAAGAACAUGAAGGACACGGAGUGAAAGUGAAGGAGUUCACCAGUUAAGAUCUCCUGCGCCCUAUAUCGGCGACAGAAGACAGCUACGGCAUCGGUCGAGUGAAGAUUUCUGUCGCCAGCGCAAGUAUGACGAGGAGGAGGUUGAGUCAGCUAAGCUCUUCCUCUCCGGCAAGAAUGAAGAGUAGCGGUGACGCUAUGUCUAAGCUCGAAUAUGAUGAGAGGUGAGAUCGAGCGAAGUAACUGAGAUAGUGAAGCGGGUGAAGGGGUAUUUAUAGUGGAGGUAAAAAUUGUUUGGCCUGAAGAUUUUGGACCUCUUUACCCGUGACCCUUCCUAUCCAAGCGACACAUGUUACCCACAUACUGAGAGGUGGCAAUCUUGGGGGAUCGUGGGUUAUCCAGUCAUGGAAAGUGGGAUUUGUUUCGAGUGAUAACCGCUAAAAAUUUGAUAAGAUAUUUUAAAGCUUUGUUCGCGGAUUCUUCAGCUGACAAUGAUCUAGUAAAGACUUUGAACGAGUUUCAAGUAGGACGCAUAUCAAGAAUUUGUGAAUAGACUGGGUUGAGCUUAGCAAAGAGGGGGAACGGGUCCGAUCACUUUCACUUAGAAGAAAAUCUAUUUGAAGAAUUAGUAGUAAGUGAAAGCUAUUGAGGACUUUGAAAGCUCUUAUAUAUGUAUAUAUAUAUAUAUAUAUUCAAUGAAGAACACCCAUUGAAAAGUUUGAAGGAUUUGACAUUUUGAGGAAUUUGCAAACUUGAGGAAUUAGAAAAAUUUCAAAAUUUGCAAAAAUCUCAAUUUUGAAGAAUUUUAACUUUGGUUGGUGGCGUGACCCACUGUAUAAGAAUGAUGAUUUCGGACACCAUGUACAAUUGACAUAGGGUUGCGAGAAUAAAAUUCUUCAUUAAUUUCCUCACACUUAGAGGGUUUGUCUUCAUUGAUUGAAGAAAAACAUUAUUUCAUGUGUUGCACAUCUAAUCGUCAAUUCUGUAUAAGUUUUAGGAUGUGUGUCCUUUCGCAGAACAUUCAAAGAUUCUAGGAUAUUUAGCUCAUAUCGCAACUUGCAAAUCUCUUUUCAUCAAAGGGCUUAGUGAAUAUAUCUGCCAGUUGUUCUUCAGUCUUCACGUGGUCGAUGAAGAUGUCGCCCUUGAGUACAUGAUCACGAAGAAAAUGAUGACGAAUCUGGAUGUGCUUGGUCUUUGAGUGUUGAACUGGGUUGUGAGUAAUAUUGAUUGUACUGUCAUUGUCACAGUAGAGAGGCACAUUCUUCACUUUGAUGCCAUAGUCCUUGAGAGUUUGCUUUAUCCAUAGCAGUUGAGCACGACAUGAACCAACAUCGAUAUACACAACUUCAGUAGUAGAGAGUGCACACAGUUCUGUUUCUUUGAGGAUCAUCAGACUAAAGAUCAUCUGAGGAAGUGGUAUGUGCCUGAUGUUGACUUGUGAUCCACUUGAUAACCAAUAGAGUCAGGGUCAGAGUAUUGAUACGUCUCCAACGUAUCUAUAAUUUUCGAUGAUUUCAUGCUAUUAUCUUGUCAAACUGUGGAUGUUUUGUAUGCCUUUUAUAUCUUUUUUGGGACUAACUUAUUAACUCAGUGCCAAGUGCCAGUUCCUGUUUUUUCCGUGUUUUUGACCCUUUUCAGAGGAGAAUUUUGAACGGAGUCCAAACGGAAUAAAACUUCCAAAAAGAAUUUUUCUAAAAUAGAAGACGAUCGGGAGACUUCAGAACCAAGGCAGUGGGUCACGACGGACCCCACAAGCCCUCAUGGCGCGGCCAGGGGGCCCCGCGCCUCCCAGGCUUGUGGGCUCCCUAGGCCUCCCCUGCUCUAGGUCUUUCGCCUAUAUAUUCCCUAAAAUCCCAGAAAAAUCAGGGGAUCCACGAAAAUACUUUUCCGCCGCCGCAAGCUUAUGUCUCCGCAAGAUCCCAUCCGGGGCACGUUCCGGUGCCCUGCCGGAGGGGGAUUCGGAUACGGAGGGCUUCUUCAUCAACACCAUGACCUCUCCGAUGAUGCGUGAGUAGUUCACCAUAGACCUACGGGUCCAUAGCUAGUAGCUAGAUGGCUUCUUCUCUCUCUUGGAUCUUCAAUACAAAGUUCUCCAUGAUCUUCAUGGAGAUCUAUCCGAUGUAAUCUUCUUUGUGAUGUGUUUGUCGAGAUCCGAUGAAUUGUGGAUUUAUGAUCAGAUUAUCUAUGAAUCUUAUUUGACUUUCUUCUGAUCUCUUAUAUGCAUGAUUUCAUAUCCUUGUAAUUCUCUUCGAGUUGUGGGUUUUGUUUGGCCAACUUGAUCUAUGAUUCUUGCAAUGGGAGAAGUGCUUGGUUUUGGGUUCAUACCGUGCGGUGACCUCACCCAAUGAUAGAAGGGGUAGCGAGGCACACAUCAUGUUGUUGCCAUCAAGGGUAAAAAGAUGGGGUUUUCAUCAUUGGUUUGAGUUUGUGGGGACCCCGACUAGCAAGUCGAGUUCGCCGUGCCCAGUGACCCCAAGGAUCAAUGUUCACUGAACACAGAUACUCAAUAAUAGAGUUUUACAUCCAAGUACCGAAUUUAUUACAUUGAACGACCCAAAGGUCGGGUUCAAGAGCAAGGCCUAAAGCCAAAUUAAAUGGAUACAUCGAGUAGCGGAAACUCGUAAGGGCUAAGCGGUGCCCAUGCCAUCAAGCCUACACCGACAGGCAUUCUGACUUGGAAGCGUCCUANNNNNNNNNNNNNNNNNNNNNNNNNNNNNNNNNNNNNNNNNNNNNNNNNNNNNNNNNNNNNNNNNNNNNNNNNNNNNNNNNNNNNNNNNNNNNNNNNNNNGAAGGGAGGGGGAAAUAGCGCGGGCUGAAAUGUCCCUCCCGCCAACUGCUUCUCUGUUAUGCAGGGCACCACAGCCGCUAGGGGUAAACCCGCGUUUUCCCAGGUUGGGGUCGGGAAUUUUCCGCGCCCCCUAAAAACUUUUGCGGGCCGGGGCGGGAUGCGGGGUCUGAUCGGGCAGGCUUUUCCGCCCUGACCCGCAUUUUGGCAGUUAUUUUGCGGGUCGGGGCGGAUGUGGGUUCUGCUAGAGUUGCUCUUAGACUCAACAAGUCCCUCUAUGGCCUCAAGGAGGCCCCGAGGGCAUGGUAUAACACUCUGAAGGAGUUCCUCAUGAAGAAAGGCUUCAAACCUGGUUCACUCAACCCAACUCUUUUCACAAAAUCCUAUGACAAUGAAUUGUUCGUGUGUCAAAUUUAUGGAGACGAUAUUAUCUUUAGUUGUACUGACAAAUGUUACAAUGACGAAUUAUUCUACAUGAUGAGUGAAUAAUAUCAAAUAUCCAUGACGGGGGAGUUGAAAUUCUUCUUCUUAGGCAAAGAAGAAAACCAAGUUUUUGCUCGAUCUCGCAACGAGAAAGGAAAAAGCUUCAAUUUAAUCACAUCACUAUCCACAUCUUUCUUAUUUUGCAUAUCGCAAAGCUCAAUGAAGGUAUUAAGAUGGGAUGCGGCAUCUUCACUCGGAAGGCCAGAGAAUUGCUUUUUCUUAACAAGAUUCAACAAAGCAGCAUUGAUUUCGUAUGAUUCCGCACUAGUGGCGGGAGCAAUCAGAGUACUAAUAAAAUCAUUAUUAUUAGUAUUCGCGAAGUCACAAAGUUUGGUGUUUUCAGUCAUGGUGACUUCAGCAAGAAAGCAAGCAAGCACACAAGCGAACAGAAAGCAAGCGAGAGAAAAGGGCGAACGAAAAAGGGAAACGAAAAAGACAAAUAUUAUUGUAAAUUUUUGUUUUUCAGAAGUGGGGUAGAGGAAAACGAGAGGCAAAAAAGUAAAUGCAGGAGAUGAGUUUGAAACACUUACUUGGAUGAGUUCUCGACUUGGUCCUCCCCGGCAACGGCGCCAGAAAUCCUUCUACUACUUCUCAAACAACAGCGCCAGAAAUUGACACGUUGACGGAGACUUGCUUCCGUUGGUUUUUCCCUUGAAGAGGAAACGGUGAUGCAGCACACGAGAAGUAAGUAUUUCCCUCAGUUUGAGAACCAAGGUAUCGAUCCAGUAGGAGAAUCUCAUCAAGUCCAGAGUACUUGCGCAAACACAAAAGAGCUUGCACCCAACCCUAUAAAGGGGUUGUCAAUCCCUUCAAGAUUGAUUGCAAAGUGAGCUCUGAAGGCGGAAAGUGCAACAAAGUAAAAGUGUAAGGCUGAAAAUAUGGUGUGAAGUAGACUCGGGGGCCAUAGUGUUCACUAGAGGCUACUCUCAAAAUAGCAAAUAUUAUGGUGGGUGAACAAAUUACUAUCGAGCAAUUGAUAGAACCGCGCAAAUUCAUGACGAUAUCUAAGCCAAUGAUCAUACAUAUAGGCAUCAUGUCCGAGACAAGUAGACCUAUACUUUCUGCAUCUACUACUAUUACUCCACACAUCGACCGCUAUCCAGCAUGCAUCUAGUGUAUUGAGUUCAUGACGAACAGAGUAACGCCUUAAGCAAGAUGACAUGAUGUAGAGGGUAAACUCAAACCAAUGAUGAAAACCCCAUCUUUUUACCCUUGAUGGCAACAACAUGAUGUGUGCCUCGCUACCCCUUCUAUCAUUGGGUGAGGUCACCGCACGGUAUGAACCCAAAACCAAGCACUUCUCCCAUUGCAAGAAUCAUAGAUCAAGUUGGCCAAACAAAACCCACAACUCGAAGAGAAUUACAAGGAUAUGAAAUCAUGCAUAUAAGAGAUCAGAAGAAAGUCAAAUAAGAUUCAUAGAUAAUCUGAUCAUAAAUCCACAAUUCAUCGGAUCUCGACAAACACAUCACAAAGAAGAUUACAUCGGAUAGAUCUCCAUGAAGAUCAUGGAGAACUUUGUAUUGAAGAUCCAAGNNNNNNNNNNCGAUGUGUGCCUCGCUACCCCUUCUGUCACUGGAUGAGGUCACCGCACGGUAUGAACCCAAAACCAAGCACUUCUCCCAUUACAAGAAUCAUAGGUCAAGUUGGCCAAACAAAACCCACAACUCGAAGAUAAUUACAAGGAUAUGAAAUCAUGCAUAUAAGAGAUCAAAAGAAAGUCAAAUAAGAUUCAUAGAUAAUCUGAUCAUAAAUCCACAAUUCAUUGGAUCUUGACAAACACACCGCAAAGAAGAUUACAUUAGAUAGAUCUCCAUGAAGAUCAUGGAGAACUUUGUAUUGAAGAUCCCAAAGAGAGAAGAAGCCAUCUAGCUACUAGCUAUGGACCCGUAGGUCUAUGGUGAACUACUCACGCAUCAUCGGAGAGGACAUGGUGUUGAUGAAGAAGCCCUCCGUAUCCGAACCCCCCCCCCUCCGGCAGGGCACCAGAACGUGCCCCAGAUGGGAUCUUGCGGAGACAGAAGCUUGCGGCGGCGGAAAAGUAUUUUCGUGGAUCUCCUGAUUUUUUCUGGGAUUUUGGGGAAUAUAUAGGCAAAAGACCUAGGGUAGGGGAGGCCCAGGAAGCCCACAAGCAUGGGAGGUGCGGGCCCCCUGGCCUCGCCAUGAGGGUUUGUGGGGUCCCUGGUGACCCUCUGCCUUGGUUCUCAAGUCUCCCGAUCGUCUUCUGUUUCGGAAAAAAUCUUUUCGGAAGUUUUAUUCCAUUUGGACUCCGUUCAAAAUUCUCCUCUGAAAAGGGUCAAAAACACGGANNNNNNNNNNUCAUGGUGUUGAUGAAGAAGCCCUCCGUAUCCGAAUCCCCCUCCGGCAGGGCACCGGAACGUGCCCCGGAUGGGAUCUUGCGGAGACAUAAGCUUGCGGCGGCGGAAAAGUAUUUUCGUGGAUCCCCUGAUUUUUCUGGGAUUUUAGGGAAUAUAUAGGCGAAAGACCUAGAGCAGGGGAGGCCUAGGGAGCCCACAAGCCUGGGAGGCGCGGGGCCCCCUGGCCGCGCCAUGAGGGCUUGUGGGGUCCGUCGUGACCCACUGCCUUGGUUCUGAAGUCUCCCGAUCGUCUUCUAUUUUAGAAAAAUUCUUUUUGGAAGUUUUAUUCCGUUUGGACUCCGUUCAAAAUUCUCCUCUGAAAAGGGUCAAAAACACGGAAAAAACAGGAACUGGCACUUGGCAGUGAGUUAAUAAGUUAGUCCCAAAAAAGAUAUAAAAGGCAUACAAAACAUCCAAAGUUUGACAAGAUAAUAGCAUGAAACCAUCAAAAAUUAUAGAUACGUUGGAGACGUAUCAAGCAUCCCCAAGCUUAACUCCUGCUCGCCUCGAGCAGGGAAGUGAUAAAGACUGAAUUUUUCACAUGGAAUGCUACCUAGCAUAGUUGUCCUUUGUAACUUCUUUCAUGUGACAUGAAUGUUCAGAUCCAUAGGAUUCGAAACAAUAGUUUGCUAUUGACAUGAAAACAAUAAUACUUCGAGCAAACUAGCAAGGUAAUCAUGAACUUUCGAAAUAACAAGGCCAAAGAAAGUUAUCCCUACAAAAUCAUAUAGUCUGGCUAUGAUCCAUCAUCCCCACACAACUAAUUUAAAUCAUGCACAACCCCGGUAUUGGCCAAUUAAUUGUUUUCGCACUCUUACUUUCUCAAACCUUUUUCAACUAUCACGCAAUACAUGAGCGUGAGCCAUGGAUAUAGCACUAUGGUGGAAUAGAGUGUGGUGGUGGUUGUGAGACAAAAAAGGAGAAGAUGGUCACAUUGACUCGGCGUAUCAAAGGGCUAUGGAGAUGCCCAUUAAUAGAUAUCAAUGUAAAUGAGUAGCGAUUGCCAUACAAAGGAUGCACUAGAGCUAUAAGUAUGUGAAAGCUCAAAAGGAGAACUAGUGGGUGUGCAUCCAACUUGCUUGCUCACAAAGACCUAGGGCAAUUUUGAGGAAGCCCAUCAUUGGAAUAUACAAGCCAAGUUAUAUAAUAAAUAUUCCCACUAGCAUAUGGUGGUGACGAAACGAGAGGCUCUCAAUCAUGAAGAACAUGGUGCUAUUAUGAAGCACAAGUGUGGGAAAAGAUAGUAGCAUUGUCCCUUCUAUCUUUUUCUCUUUUUUUUAUUUUUAUUUUGUUUGGGCUCUUUCCCCUCUUUCCAUAUCUCUCUUUUUUUAUUAUGGGCAACUUUGGCCUCUUUUUUUUUAUUUCCUCACAUGGGACAGUGCUCUAAUAAUGAUGAUCAUCAAACUUUUAUUUACUCAUAGCUCAAAGCUUAGGACGAUGAUGACUCUAUAGGAAAUGCCUCCGGGAGUGUACCGGGAUGUGCAACGAUCUAGCUUGGUGUAUGACGUUGAAACAUGUUGCUAGCUAUCUUACGAUCAUGCAAUGGCAAUAUGAGAGUGACGGCACAAGUCAUGAGACGGAACGGUGGGAUUUGCAUGGCAAUAUAUCUCGGAAUGGCAAUGAAAAUGCCAUAGUAGGUAGGUAUGGUGGCUGUUUCGAGGAAGGCAUAUGGUGGGUUUGUGCACCGGCGAAAAUUGCGCGGUACUAGAGAGGCUAGCAAUGGUGGAAGGUGAAAGUGCAUCUAUACCAUGGACUCACAUUAGUCAUGAAGAACUCACAUACUUGUUGCGAAAGUUUUUAUUAGUAAUCGAAACAAAGUGCUAAACGCAUACUCCUAGGGGAAGGGUUGGUAAGUCUAUAACCAUCGCGCGAUCCCGACCGCAACACAAAGGAUGACAAUCAAUAGAUCAAUUAUGCUCCGACUUCCUAACAUAGUGGUUUACCAUACGUGCAUGUUACGGGAAUCACUAACUUCAACACAAGUAUUUCUAGAUUCACAACACCCUACUAACAUAACUCUUAAUAUUACCAAAUCCACGUCUCCAAACUAAUUGAGAGGAAUCAAAACUUCUCUUUCUACUUAAUGCACAUGAAGCUGGAAGUUUUUGUCUCCUCUUUGGGUACCUACCACCUUUGGGACUACUUUCAUAGCACAAGCCAACUACCAAGUUACGCACCACCGUACUCUAAAAGAUCUAAGUGAAGCACAUAGAGCAAAAUUAUCUAGCUCAAAAGAUAUAAGUGAAGCACGAUGAGCAUUCUAGCAAAAUCACGAUGAGUGUGUGUCUCUCUCAAAAGGUGUGCAGCAAGGAUGAUUCUGACACAACAAAAAGAAAAGACUCCUACGAUACAAGACGCUCCAAGCAAAACACAUAUCUUGUGGUGAAUAAAAAUAUAGCUCCAAGUGAUGUUACCGAUGGAUUGAAGACGAAAGAGGGGAUGCCUUCCCGGGGCAUCCCCAAGCUUAGGCUUUUUGGUGUCCUUGAAUUUGGCUUGGGAUGCCUUGGGCAUCCCCAAGCUUGAGCUCUUUCCACUCUUUAUCCCUUUGUCCAUGAGAUCAUCACCCAAAACUUGAAAACUUCACAACACAAAACUUAAACAGAAACUCGUGAUAUCAUUAACACAAGAAAACAAACUACCACUUCUUUAGGUAAUGUAGGAAUCUUGAUUUAUAUUUAUAUUGGUGUUAGAUUACUGUAUUCUCACUUUUCCAUAGCUAGUACCCCCCGAUACUAUCCAUAGUUUCAUCAAAACAAGCAACCAACUCAACAAAAAUAGAAUAUGUCAAAAACACACCAGUCUGUAGCAAUCUGUAUACUUCGUAUACUUCUGGUACCUCAAAAAUUCUGAAAAAUUACUACUGCCUAGGAAAAAGGCAUAUCCACCAGCAGAAAAAAGAAUCAACUCAAAAUCUCUUUAUGAAUAAAAAUUAAAAAUAAUCUCGUGAGCGAAAAGUUUCUGUCUUUUUCCAGCAGGAUCAAACAACCAUCACCAAUACUAGUCAUAAAGGUUUUGCUUGGGUCAAACACAAAAAGAAACACAAAAGACACAAUCAUAACAUGAUUAUGAUGGUGUGGACGUAACAAAACAAAAGGAAAAAGAUAAAUUCAUUGGGUUACCUCCCUACAAGCGCUAUUGCUUAACGCCCUUAGCUAGGCAUAAAGCGAUAGAAUCGUGCAUCGUCGUCUUUGGUGCUCAAACCAUAAGUAGCCCUCAUCAUGGAUUCAUAAGGCAAUCAUAUUUUCUUUCUACGAAAAUGCUCCAUGCCCUUCUUUAAAGGAAAUUGAAAUCUAAUAUUCCCUUCCUUCAUGUCGAUGAUAGCACCAAUAGUCCUUAGGAAAGGUCUACCAAGAAUGAUAGGGCAUGUAGGAUUGCAAUCAAUGUCAAGCACAAUGAAAUCCACGGGUACAUAGUUCCUAUUUGCAAUAAUAAGAACAUCAUUGAUCCUUCCCAUGGGUUUCUUGACAGUAGAAUCCGCAAGAUGCAAAUUAAGAGAACACUCCUCAAUCUCAUGAAAACCCAGAACAUCACAUAAAGACUUUGGAAUCGCGGAAACUCUAGCACCCAAAUCACACAAAGCAUUGCAUUCAUAGUUUUUUAUUUUGAUUUUGGUAGUAGGUUCCCACUCAUCAUGAAGCUUUCUAGGGAUAGAAACUUCCAAUUCAAGUUUCUCUUCAAGAGAUUUUAUCAUAGCUUCGACGAUAUGAACGGUAAAGGCCUUGUUUUGCUUAUAAGCGUGUGUAGAGUUUAGCAUGGAUUGCAUCAAGGAAAUGCAUUAAAUCAAGGAUCAACUAUCAUAAUUGAAUUCCUUGAAAUCCAAAGUAGUAAUUUCAUUACUACUCAAAGUUUUAAUAUCUUCUACUCCACUUUCAAUGCUUUUAGCAUCAAGAUAGAUGGACUCCGAAUCAUUGGGGCGUUUUUCAACCAAAGUGGAUUCAUAUCCAGCCCCCUCAUCAUAAGGUUUGACACAAGAAAACAAAGAUUCAAUGGGAGUCACACCAAGCACUUUAAUAUCUUCGUGAUUCUUAUCACGAGAACACGCCUUUUUAAGCCAUUCAUGUCUAGCACGAAUUUGGGAGCUUCUUUCUUUGCUCUCACUCAUGGAAACACGCAUAGCUUUCAAAGUUUCGUCCAUAUUGAUCUUGGGAGGAGCACAUCUAACUUUGAAAGCAUCAAUAUCACUAGACAUUCUAUCAACGCUCCUAGCCAAAUCAUCAAUUUUGAGUAGUUUUUCCUCUAUGGACGCAUUGAAAAUCUUUUGUGAGUUGAUAAACUCUUUGAUAUUACUCUCUAAAUCAGAGGAUAAUCUAUUUUAAUUUCCAUGAGUAUUGUUGUAGGAGUUCCCAAAGUUAUUAGAGGAGUUACUAGGAAAAGGCCUAGGAACAUAGUUUCAUCUAAAAGCAUUUUUGUUGCCAAAAUUAUUCCUACCAACAAAAUUAACGUCCAAGCUAGCGUUGCUACUCUCAAUCAAGGAAGACAAGGGCAUAUCAUUCGGAUCUAAAGGAGCACUACUACUAGGAACCAAAUUCAUUAACUCAUCCAUCUUAGCACUCAACGAGUUAAUUUCUUCUAUAGCGUGUACCUUUUUACUAGUAGUUGACCUUUUAGUGUGCCACUGAGAGUAGUUCGUCAUGUAUUGUCUAGGAGUUUUGUGCCUUCUCCUAACGUGAUUUCCAUGAACGUUCCACCUAAGGCGGAGUCCAAGAUAUUUCUAGAAGCGAAAUUCAAGCCACCAUAAAAGAUCUGUAUAAUCAUCCAAAGACUCAAGCCAUGAGUGGGACAAUUUCUAAUCAUCAAUUUCAUUCUCUCCCAAGAUUGUGCAACAUGUUCAUGAUCAAGUUGCUUAAAAUUCAUGAUAUCAUUAUGGAGAGAGAUAAUCUUAGCCGGUGGAAAAUACUUGGAUAUGUAAGCAUCUUUGCACUUAUUCCAAGAAUCAAUAUUAUUUUUGGGCAAAGACGAAAACCAAGUUUUUGCUCGAUCUCGCAACGAGAAAGGAAAAAAGCUUCAAUUUAAUCACAUCAUUAUCCACAUCUUUCUUCUUUUCCAUAUCGCAAAGCUCAAUGAAGGUAUUAAGAUGGGAUGCGGCAUCUUCACUAGGAAGGUUGGAGAAUUGCUCUUUCAUAACAAGAUUCAGCAAAGCAGCAUUGAUUUCGUAUGAUUCCGCACUAGUGGAGGGAGCAAUCAGAGUACUAAUAAAAUCAUUAUUAUUAGUAUUCGAGAAGUCACAAAGUUUGGUGUUUUCAGUCAUGGUGACUUCAGCAGGCAAGCAAGCAAGCACACAAGUGAACAAAAAGCAAGCGAGAGAAAAGGGCGAACAAAAAAGGCAAACGAAAAAGGCAAAUAUGUUAAAUAAUGAUAUUCCCACAAGGAAAAUUGCUUUCCUGCCUUAGAAAAUUCUGAGUAAAUUCAUGGAAGCUCAGAAGGACAUAUAUUUUCCAUAUAUAAGAUUUCCAGCCCUACUUUAUAUUAAUAUUAUUUGAGUAAAACCCUGAAAACCAUUUCUGUCUGUUUUAGCUUUUUGAGAUGUUUCUAAAGGAAAUUAUCUCAAUAAAAUCCCAUAAAAUUACAGGAGCCCUCCCAAACCAUAUUAGGUGCUCACCUAAAAUCUCACCUUGAUCCCAGGUGGGGAAGUACACCUAAAGAUCCCAAAAGCCUCUUUGUCCAGAGUAGAGUUGGAACAACUCUACAUUGCAAAGUUUCUCCAAUGGAGCUGAAACUUUGCAGAGGUGUUUAACACCCCANNNNNNNNNNNNNNNNNNNNNNNNNNNNNNNNNNNNNNNNNNNNNNNNNNNNNNNNNNNNNNNNNNNNNNNNNNNNNNNNNNNNNNNNNNNNNNNNNNNNUGACGGCGUACUCAUCACCAAACUCCGGUCCUUCCAUGUCUGGUCAAUAACAUAACCAGUGGCAAGCCAAUGAGUACUUUGAAUGUACUCGCAAACAGCCCAUGAUAUGAAUAUAUAUGGUAAGGAAUAACAGUAACAGUUAUCUUUAGUGGAAUGCAAUGUGGUGGCAUGAUCAGGUAUGAGCAACAAGUUAAGAAUUACUUUUGAAGAAUAGGUUACAGAUAUUGACAUAUCUGUCAAGAGUUGAACACAUCGGGUUCACCCUGUAUGCCAAGUCAUCGGACUUGUCAUAUCCUCAAGGNNNNNNNNNNGUUUUGAAGAACAGGUUACAGAUAUUGACAUAUCUGUCAAGGGUUGAACACACCGGGUUCACCCUGUAUGCCAAGUCAUCGGACUUGUCAUAUCCUCAAGGUAUUAAUGAGGGCUAAACCAUCCGGGUUUACCCUAUAUGUCAAGUCACCGAACUUGAUCAUAUUGUCGUGGUUAUCAUAACAACACCUUUUUAACACCACGCACACACACUUGGUUUAUGCGGAAACUCAGGACGUAGUUUAAGCAGCACCAACCAACUGUCCUUGACCGUGGACACGGCUAUUCGAAUAGUUUACACUCUGCAGAGAUAGUACGCUGGACCCACGAGAAACGGGAAACUUCCGUGUCAUCCACGACUCACGGUAUAUCACAUAUACCCGAGGUAAGUACCCGAUCAUCAUCUUUCCCCUGACGAUACUAGACAAAGAGGUCCACUCGAUUGGUACCCAGCCCACAUGUUGUACGUCUUACGAGCACCGACUCUGGACUGUAUCGACCAUGCAGGGACCAACGGUGUGCCUGGAACUCAUAAUAAUGGCAUAGUCAUCCUACCUGGCAUGACCCCAUCACGAGAGUGACACCGAUCACUCCCGCCACUAGUAAUGUGGCUCUUUGCUAGCACCGACCAGAGUAAUCAACAAAGCCCCGUCCCAUAAAGGGGUAUCGUGGUCGUACUGGUAAGGUUGGGACGGUCGACACAUCAUAAAUCUAAUCCAUUUCCGAAACCAUACUCACACAAAAAUCACCGGUGCAUCACUUCACCAAAAGUGAUCACCGAUUCAUCCUCACCCUCGGGCAUUAGUGGCACCCGACGGGGUUUUCAUAAACUCUUUAUUUAACUCAACAUUAUGCUUGAGAUAAUAUGCCUUAACAUUACUUGUCAACAUGGUGAUAUCAUGACCCUCACGGGGUAGGGUCAAGCUCAAUGCAGUGAUUAUACUUUACUAGUCAACAUGACAUUAGCAUGAUCCUCGUAGAUGGUAGGGUUAGCUCAUCAUGUAUGUGCUCCGAGGAGCCAUGUGAAUAUCAUUAUCAACAUGCAAAUGCUUCGAGGAAGCCUUCGGGACCAUCACAUCAAUGAUGAACCGACACUGUGAUCACAUGCAUCGGAAAAUACUUGCUAUACUAGCAUGCAUCAUUUUAUAUACUUAAGUCAUGGAAAAAGGGCUGCUUGCCUUGGUCAGCUAGGUAUCCGGGGUCUUCGAGGUCUUCCACUCCGGAUCCUCCGUCACUCGGUAACUCUACCGUCGAGAAAGGAAUAAAUAAAUACUAGCUCUCACUAAAACAGAUCACAAAGUGCUUUUAAAAAUGUUGCAAGGCUUAAAUAAAUUCAGUUUAUUAUUUUGAAAAAUGUUUCCUAUAGUUUUAUUAGCUAAGCAUAUUUAUUUNNNNNNNNNNNNNNNNNNNNNNNNNNNNNNNNNNNNNNNNNNNNNNNNNNNNNNNNNNNNNNNNNNNNNNNNNNNNNNNNNNNNNNNNNNNNNNNNNNNNAAAACCACUCUACUGCCACUGCAACCAAAUCAACGUGUACCAAAGCGUCUCGAAACAAAAGACUACUCAAAGAGGGCAGAGAAAAAAGGAGGAAGUAAAAAAGCAGCCAGAAUCCUCCCAAACCAAGCUCAAGGUUUGUUUCAGUCUUGCCCACGUCACUCGUGCGCGUUUCGCCUGGUUGAUAGCCCAAACCGAAGCAGAACAUCACGACGGAAUUCAUUUACUCCGUACUAGCGUUGGCCAUGGCCGCUGGCGCUUCGCCCCUCCUGCUGUUGCGCGUCGCCCUCGUCCUCAUCGCCGCCGCCGCGGCCUGGGCGGCGGCGCUGGACGACCCGGCGGGGCUUCNNNNNNNNNNNNNNNNNNNNNNNNNNNNNNNNNNNNNNNNNNNNNNNNNNNNNNNNNNNNNNNNNNNNNNNNNNNNNUGCGACGGGCCAAGGAGGCGGAGUUCUUGGACUGGAUGGUGGGGGUGCGGCGGCGGAUCCACGAGAACCCUGAGCUCGGCUACGAGGAGUUUGCCACCAGUGAACUCGUCCGGCGCGAGCUCGAUGCCAUGGGGAUCCCGUACAGGCACCCCUUCGCGCUCACCGGCGUCGUCGCCACCGUCGGCACAGGCGGCCCGCCCUUCGUCGCGCUUCGGGCCGACAUGGACGCGCUCCCUAUGCAGGUUUUUUU
rnacentral:lncRNA from 1 species